rnacentral:lncRNA from 1 species
AAAAAAAUCAUAGGUUCCAAAAACUUCAUAGAAAAACGUGUCGAAUGACCGCAAACAAAUCCAUUAAAUUUGAAAAUGAUUACACACAGAAUUACCUAAUUUAGAUGCUUUUACUUUUCAUAGUUUUAUAUGGGUUAAUCUCCACACAAACUCACUUCCUUAAUGCAAUACUUUUUACUCCUUAGGAGAUACUUCAAUUUUACAUUGAGGCUAAUAGAUCAAACACCUUUUUUUCUUUUUUUUUCUAUUGAAAAAUAUUUUCAAAAUCGUUCUCGAAAGAUUGAUUGAUUAAGAGUAGGGGCUAUGAAGAUAACUAUGUUCUUAACUUAAAUUUAUAUUAAAAAAAACUUUUAAAAAUACAAAAAGGACAAUUAAAACAACUCAAAACAUAGGAUUGACUUUUAAAAAUUCUAAAAGGGGCUUGGGAAUGUUGAGGGAGAGGGCAUUUGAACAUCCUUUGAUAAAUUUGAACGCUACUUUCCAAUUUUGCAUAUAAACUCUUGUUUUUCGUGUUUAUUCCAGAAUUGUCAUCUAGCUAACAUGUCAUAAUCAUUUCUUAAGCUCUAAUUAUAUGAAAUGCAUAUGUACCUCAAAAUUUAACCAAUUCUAAAUUAGUUUGAAAUCAAUUAUAAAUAAUAAAAUUCUCAAAGGUAAUUCAAUGCAGAAAUAAUAAUAAUAAUAAUAAUAAUAAUAUUAAUAAUAAAAUAAAAUUAUCAACUUCUACUAAUACCUUUACAUUUCUCUUUCAAUUUUACACGUGGAUACAAUAAAUAAAAAUAAAUAAAUAAAUAAAUAAACUAUAGUAGAGGGAUGCUAUGUUAAUCCACCAAUGAGAUACAAAAAUUUGAAUAAUUAGAUAAUGAUGGACAUAAAUCAUAUGACUUUGGUUGGAUCCAUAUUUAUUUUUCCUCUUUCUCCAUGGGAAUAAUAAUUUUGGACACCCACAAAUCAUAACUUAAUUAAAGGUAUAAUGACAUAGACGCAUUGAAUUUGCAUACUUUCAUUAUGAAAACAUAGUCUAAAACAACGACUGUGAGACCUAAUAAUCCAUUCUAAGGCUUGUUGGACAGAGACAUAUAACCAAAGUUGAACAUUAGCAUGAUUUCUCAAAUUAUUGUGAUGUGGAAUAAUAUGUGAACAUAUUUUUGAGUGGAAAAAUAGCCACGUGGACAAAUGUGAGGUUGACAAGUGUAAUGGGAAGUCAUUGAAGAGGGCAAUUAAGGGGAUGUUGGACCAUAUAAAAGACUGGAGCUGGCAGUGAUCAAAGAGAAUUUAAGGUGGUGACCCCAGUGUCUCCAACCAAUACGAAUCUUUGAGCCAUUACACCAUUGCUUGCCUUACCACAAACAUUUAUUUUUUUGUAUUUAGCCUUUUGCUUGUGGGUCCAAACUCUUUGUCGUUUUCAUAUAUCGUAAUCAUAUAAAUCAACUCCACAAGGUCUGAGCCCCACCUUCUUUAAUGAUAUUAUUUAGAGCUUCCCUUCAAUCUCAAUUUACCGUUUUUCUUUUGAUUCUAUUGUUGGGAAAUCUCUGCCAUGCAAGGGCUCUCUCCUAUGUCACUGUUGUCAUAAAUCAUGAACCCCCCACCUUUUUUUUUUCUUUGGGAUAAGUAUAAGAAAGUGGAGGGGAGUGAGUCAAGCUUCCUUGUAUGAAUGGUGAAAAUUUUUCUAAUUAUGCAUUUAUAUGCAUUGAUAGCUUUUAUGAAAUUAGUUUUGAGUUUAUAAUCAUUGCUACUCUUAAGGAAAUUUUCAUAAUCCAAACGCAAUUACAUGCUAAAUAGACAUAGUUUCAUUAUGAAAUAUAAAUUUUAAAAUUGUUUUUGGGAUUCAUAAAAGAUUAUGUCUUAAAAUAGGGAGAAUCAUUGUGAAGAUUGUGGAUCCAAAAUAAAUAAUAUUCAUUCAAUCUUGACAAGUCUGUAUCAAAAUUAAUCAUUUGUAAAAAUGCUUGAAAUCAAGUAACUCAGAAACCCUCUGUCGAUGUGUACUUUAAAUUUAUAUGAGAGAAGAUGAGUUAUAACACUAUACGUCAUAAAAAAGAGAAGUUCAUUGAAUUCAUAGGUGAUGAUGCAUGCAUUUGGGUUAAAAGGAAUAAUAUUGAUCCUUUUAUUAUUUAUAAAUCUUUGUCACUAUGUAUCUAACAAGUAGUGACUCAAUGCCAACAGACUUGGAUUUAUAUAGUAUCAUUAUAUUUAUUUACAUUUUCAAAACGUAAGACAUUGUUAUAUUUAUUUAUGUUAUGAAAAAGUAGGAAAACCCAUUUUUCUUCUUAUGUAAGGAAUAUAUUUUUAUUUAAUUAAGUUUUUAAUUAUACUUAUUUUUUUUAUAAACACAAAGUUAAAUAUAAUUAACAAACAAAGAAUUAUUAGAUUAUGAAGUUUGAAUUAAUUUUAUUGUGCUUCACUCAAGAUAUUAAAUGUUGAGUUGUCUAAUCAGCUUGUGGGGGUUGAGCUCUCUGGUGAACUUGCAAGGAUCCAACUAUUUAAUUAGUUCUCGGGACGUAGGGUGCCACACCCCCUAUAGAUGGUUUUUUUUUUUUUUUAAUUAAUUAUGUGUUGACAAGUUUGUUUCUAUUAUAUAUUUAAUAUUUUUAUAUUUAGGGUUUUAUGUUUUCAGACUGAUUGCAAUUGAAAUUUUUUUUUUAGAGUUUCACCAUUAUAAUUUUUCUAUUUUAUUUUGAUUAGUAGAUUGUUGAUUGUUGGUGUACUCCGUAAACAAUAUUAAAAAUUGUGUCUUUUGUCUUUUUCUUUAUUUUUCACUCGUAUACAUGAUUUGAUUAUAUAUAUAAAAAUAAAAUUACAAAGCAAAUAUAACUAUUUUUAUUUCUAGCUACUUCGUUCUAUUGGUAUAAAUGGAAGUUUAAAAGCUCCCCAAAUAACCCCAAAAAAAAUAAAAAAUAGAAAAAAUCUCACCAUCAAUCCUUAAUGCAAAUUUCCAAAAUAUGGUACAACAUUUUAUUUGAAUACCCACCAUAUUUGUGAUCAUGAUCAUCUUCUUGAACAACCAGGAACGUUUGUCCUCCAUGUAAGGGAUUUCUUAUGGUUACAACUCUCAUAUAAUGACACUUCUGCAUUAAUUACUAGCCAGGAUCAUUUAGUAAGAUAUUUUGGACCAGUCCCACUGGUUACGUGGACACAUUGACAUUCAGGAGGCAAAGGACAUUCAUUAAAUGAGAUGAUAAAGGACUUACAAAGACAUUUUUACCCAUACAACUUUUGUAUUACAAGGAACUUUGGCUCACAAAUGAAAGAAUUAAAUUGUCUUUUACUCAAUAUUUUAUUUUAUUCUAUUCUAUUUUGUUUCCAUCAUCACUUGGAUGAUUGGAGGGACGGUACUGAUGAAGUUGGCGCAACAAAAUCCACAUUUAUCUCUAUGUCCCAUUGCAUUAACUUUGUCCUAGAUGUACUGUAACUUAUUUUGGUGGGACAGUAAUUUGUGAUUACAAUAGAUUAAAGUUUAGUUGAAUCAAUUCUACUUUUGACUAAGAAAAAGGGCAAAAAAAAUUUGCAGGUCACCAUUUUUCUCUGAACUUAUCUAGAAUUGAGAGAAUUUCUACAUCUGACUUUUGACACCCAUCCACUUAUUUCAUGGAUUUUGAAUCAUAUUUAGUAAUAGAAUAUUUGAAAAGUUCAAUGUUUUUAACUUAUCGAUUUAAGUAUUAAGACAUAUAAAAUUAUACAAACUAAUUAUAAAAUAUUUAUUAUAUUAAGAUGUGUAUGUAAAAGAAGCUAUAAAUAAAUUGAAUUAGGUUAUGGAAUAAUAAUAAAUCAUUAAAUUAAUUUAUCAAAUACCCUUUAAAAAUAAUAAUUUAAGUUAUAUUAAAAUAUUAAAAUUUAUCAAAUAUGGCCUUAGAAAAGAUAUGUAAGUGUUAUUCAAAAGAGUUUUUGAAUCACGAUGUUCUAGAAUACAGAUCGUAAACUUUGUAACUUAAUUUAUUUAUGUUAGAAGAGUAAAGACUUAUUAUUAUUAUUUUUCUCAAAUUUAUGUUUGGAAACAAAAUUUUGUUUUAUAAUUUUUUUUAAAAAAUAUAGUGAAAUAUAAAAUCAAUUGCAACAUCAAAUAUUAUUAUUUCAUCCCCUUCUUUUUUAAUGCUAAAAAAAAAUUUGGGGGUGCCCCUUUAAAGGUAGAAUGGGUUGCUUGGUCCCAACCAAGAUAGCUAGGCCAAUUGGGCAAUUCACAACUCUAGUUCAGUUUGAAACCAAGUAAGCCUCAUGGGGUUGUGACCCAGGUCUGGUACAGCCCUUUUUGGGCCUUAACAUUAACUGAGGGAGUAAUAAGUGAAAUCCACACCACUCAUGCACUUUAAUUUAGGAUGUCAUUGUAUUGACUUUCACAUCUUUGAACCCUUUUUAGCAUCCAUAUGAGUUUUGGGAAGAAAAUUGAUUUUUGAUUAGUGAAACCAACCAAGAUGAAUGCAUUUAUGGACCUGGCAAAGUCUUCCAUGGGUUUGACGGUGAAGAAAGCUGAACUUUCAUGAUUUUAAUUUUGGAUUAUAUAUGAUGGGGGUCUAAUCUCAUAUUGGAAUGUAAAUUCCCACCUACCUAGACAGGGGUCUAAUAUUUUAGGGUUUGUCUUGCAGCCUAAUUCUAAAAAAUGUGCAAUUGUUUUUUACCUUGUAAAUUAACUCAAUCUAAAGAGUUUUCACACUAUGUUUUCAUUUAUAGUCUACCAAUAGCUUGACCACCACAACCAAAGGAAUAAAUUAUGACACAUAAAUGGUAGAAUUAUGUGUGUGUAGAAUUCUAUCAAUACUAAAUUGCUUCGCAACUUUGUUGUUUUAUACAAGAAAUUUCCAUUUUAGCUCAUCAUAAAGUGGUCAGGAUAAGCAAUGAGAUCACAUUUCAACAAAUGAGAGUGAGUCCCAUGUCGUAAUUUUUUUUCCCACUCCCUCCCAUUUAUUUAAUGGCUUCUCCAAUUUCCAUUUUCAAGCUCAAAAAGAUUCUUGUAGUACGUGUGGAGUUUGUGUAGGAUUCAUGAUAAAUGUGAUAAAUGAAUGAUUAACAUAAGUGCAUACCAUCUUGACAAAAAUUAUUUGAAUUUUAUUCUUGAAAACAAUUAAUAAUUAUUGUAAGGAGCUAUUUCUCAAAACAAUUUUUCUUUUUAAAAAUUUGUUUUCAAAAUUAAUAUUUUUAAACAAAUCCUUGGAUUAAAAAAAGUGGCAAUUUCUAAUCAUAUUCUAAAAUGAUUUCUUUAACAAAAACGAGAAGAUAAACAAGAAAACCAUGGUAAGUUGGGCUGAAGAAAUUAAUUAACAGUAACAAGUGAAAAGGGGAGUAUGAAAAAAUGCAACCACAUAUGAGUUAGAGGGUACUUUGGUCAAUAGAUUUUGCGCAUACUCUGAUCAAAAUUUAUUUCGUUAUCCCGUAUAUGUCGCUGACCUUUCUUCGCUACCCCAUCUCUCUUCUUCUUUCUUUCUUUUCUUCGGAGACUUCUUCUUCUUCUUCUUCUUCUACAAAUCUCUCUCCCUCGCUAUUUCUGUUCUCACUGACAAAAAUGGGCAGAUCACCAUGCUGUGACAAGGUGGGGUUGAAGAAAGGGCCAUGGACUCCGGAAGAAGACCAGAAACUCUUGGCUUACAUUGAAGAACACGGCCAUGGGAGCUGGCGAGCUUUGCCAUCAAAAGCGGGUGAUCAUCCGCACUGAAUUCUGCAUGGAGAUGGGUUUUCUGAGUUUAGUUUACUGAUGAUGGGGUUUUGUGACUUGGUGGGUUGUUGUGUGUAGGGCUUCAGAGAUGUGGCAAGAGUUGCAGACUGAGAUGGACUAAUUAUCUGAGGCCUGACAUUAAGAGAGGAAAAUUCAGUUUACAGGAGGAACAGACAAUCAUUCAACUCCAUGCCCUCUUGGGGAACAGGUACAAAAGUAGAUUUUUUCUUGUUAUGACUCUUAUGAUUAGUUUUAGUACUAGUGUUAUAAAUACUUUCUCUGAGGAGUCAGGUGCAGGGUUCUUGAAUUUUUUUUCCUCAAACCUCCACUGUUUUCAGUGAAAAUCCCAGUCCUGAGUCUUAAAAUUUGAGAAGUGGGUGUCUGAGAUGUAAUUAAUACCUGCUAUUAGUGGAAGAAGCUUUGAUGUUCAUCACCAAAGCUGGCUUCCAAAAUGUACCAUAUGUCUUUUGUUUUGGCAUCAAAACCAUCUCGAAAUCUUCAUAAUCCAUGUGAAGGGUUUUGAAUAUGGGGGGAGGAAUCUUGAAUUUUUCUCCAAAAUGACAUAGAAAAUGAUGUUAGUUUGUUGUAUUAUCAUCUUGAUUGAAAUGGGAAAUGGGGGUGGUAGUUGAUGGUUACUAGGGCGUUUUUGUUUUAUAGGGAUUUUUUGGGGGUGUGUCUCUAUUAUGUUUUUGUUGUCUUGUCUGAAGGUGGUCGGCUAUAGCAACUCACUUGCCUAAGAGAACAGACAAUGAGAUCAAGAACUACUGGAAUACGCAUCUCAAGAAAAGAUUGGCCAAAAUGGGCAUUGAUCCAGUCACCCACAAGCCCAAAAGUGAUGCUCUACUCUCCAGUGACGGCCAGUCAAAGAACGCCGCUAAUCUCAGCCAUAUGGCUCAGUGGGAGAGCGCUCGCCUCGAAGCGGAAGCUAGAUUGGUCAGAGAGUCCAAGCUACGUUCCAAUUCUUUCAACCAUCAUCCGGGGACUCCCUCGGCUUCUACUUCGGCGGCGGUUGGGGGCAAAACGGCUGCGGUUUCUAGCAGUCCGCCGCUGUAUCUUGACGUGCUUAAAGCUUGGCAUGGUGUGUGGCCCAAGUCAACUGAAGGUGGUGGCUCUAGCGGAGGCGGCGGCGGGGGCGGCGGUGGUGGUGGGGGUGUGGCGGUCGCUGGCGACCUCGAGUCUCCUACUUCGACGCUUAGCUACUCCGAGAAUGCAGCGGCGGUGGCGUCCACGGCGGUGAUUGACUUCGUGGGCAACUCAGGCUCUUGUGAGGGCGGGAUCAUCAAAGACGAGGGCGACCAACAAGAGUGGAAAGGCAUGGGAAGCUCGACCCAGUUGCCGGAGUCCUUCACGUCGGCACUCCACGACAUGGCCGUGCCAAUGGACAGCGGCGCGUGGACUCCAGAGUCGCUCAAAACCGUCAACGGCGGACACUUCAUCGAGGGCUUCACCGAGCUUCUCCUCAGCAACUCAACCAACCGGACCCUCUCAGACACAGACGGCGGCGGAGACUCUGACAAUGGCGGCUGCAGUGGCAGUGGCAGUGACUACUACGAAGAUAACAAGAAUUACUGGAACAGUAUUCUAAAUCUGGUGAAUUCGUCACCGUACGAUUCUCCCAUGUUCUGAAAAACCUUAUGGACACCAUGCACACAGAGAGAACCAGUUCAAUUGUUAAUAGCUCGGCCGUUUCCGCUCAGUCCUUGUUAUCAGUACUCUGCCAUUCCUUCUCUGCAAACUGAUCAGAAUCGGAAUGCAACUCGUUGGAGUCGACUCAGUGAUUAUCUAUAUUAUUUUUUUUCCUCUCUCUCUCUCUCUCUCUUUCUUUUUCUUUUUUCUUUUUUUUUUUUCUUUUUUUUUUCUUUUUAAGUUAUUAUUCAAAUGUAGAUCUAGGGUGUGGAGAGUGGGAAAUGGUGGAAUUGCAGAAACUAAUGCUAAAUAGAGUGUAUGAAAUGAAUGAAUAAAUCUUAUUAAUAAUAAAUACCUUUGUAUUUAUGGAAAUAUAGAGAGAGAUGUCCACUAAGGGGUGUAUUUAUGAUCAACUUUACUGCUGUUGGUUUCAUGUCACAUUCUGGUUUUAUAAGCAAUCAAAUUCUUUUGUCGUGUUUGGUUCCCGUCAAUGAGAAAGAAAAUAGGAGAAAGUAGAUAGAAAAAAAGUGGGUUUUAUAAUUGGUAAACAAAGAAGCCGUAUCUUAUGGGAGAAAAAAAAAUGAUUUGGACGGUGGUAUAGAAAGACAAUUCAAUGAUUAAUGUAGGAAGAAAUGAGAAAAUUUUCUUUUGAGUUUUCUAGGUGAGGGUUUCAUGUGGAGCUUGAAAAUUUGUAAUUUUGUGGAUAUUAAAGAAAAUUAAAGAAUCUUGUUGGGACGGUGAGUUUUUGUACUAUGUUUCAAUUCUUACAUUGUAAUCUUUAAAAACACACUACUCCAUACGUUCAUUCAUUCGGAAUUAAUAUUUUUUUUUCAUAUUAUUUAGAAAUUAUUUGAAACAAAUUUAAGUUUAUUUAUUUAUUUAUAGAUAGGAAGGAGAAUGAACAAAAAAUAUUGCUUUCAUUAUUUAAGUAUAAAAAUAACUCUUAAGAGUUAUUUUUAAAAAUUUGAUUUGUAAUAAUUAUUUUUUAAAAUGCCGUGAAAUAAACCCUAAAUUUUUUAUAUUCCAUGUAGAAAAGUCUCAUUAAUUAAAAAAAAUUUAUAUAUAAAAAAUUAAUUUAAUAAGAUUAUUUUCAUCUAAAAAGUUGAUAAUAUAGGAAUAAGAAAAUAGAUGGAAAUAAAAUUAUAGGUUAGUAAAUAAUAUUUCAUUAUAGACAUUUCUCCUAAACAUAUUAGUCUCUCUUUUUGGUCUUAUUCAGCUAUUUAUAUCUCAACAAUGAUAAGUAUUAAGGCAAAUAACAAAGAAAGAUAUUUGCAGCUAUUAUAGUAAUUAAUUAAUUAAUCAUAAUUAUAUAUAUAUAAAGAUUAUAGAUUUAUUUUUUUAAAAAAAAUUAUUUAAUUUUUUUUAUAUUUUUAAUAAAUAUUAGAAUGUGUUUGACAAUCAUUUUAAAUAUUUUUAUUACUUAAAAGUAAAAAAAUUUAAAUAUUUAAAAAGUUAAAAAUAUUUUAUUAUUAUCAACCAAACUCUUGAUAGGACAAGAAAAGAGCCUAAUUUAUAAAAAAUUGGGGUUAUCUUUCAACAUCUAUUUUUAGAAAUUAUUUUACAAAAUUGGAGUUUGCCAACUCUUUAAAUUUUUAAGUGAAACAAAUUAAAAUUAAAGAAAAUAAUUUAAAAAAUAUAAGUAUUUAGAUCAAAUUCCUCAUUUUCUUUUGGAUGUUUUUUAUAAUAAAUGAGUUUUAUUUUUCAUAUCUUUGAUCACUAAUUUUUUUAUGAAUAUAUAUAUAUAUAUAUAUAUAUAUUUAUAUUUUAACUAUUAUUAUUUAAAAAUCAAAAAAUAUUUUUGGGUGGUAAACUAUCUAAGGAUGACCCAUAAAAAAUAAACAAAAUGCAACUAAAUCUCUUUAAAAAAAAUCAUUUAAAAAACUCGCCAUCACCACUCCCCAAGGGGAAGUACAGCAAAUAAAUCAAGGAGCCCACAAGGGCAAGUGUGGAUAAUAUCACAAUAAAUAUAGAUUUUGGUCCCAAAGUCCCCACAAAAAAAAAAAAAAAAAAAAAAAAAAAAAAAAAAAAAAAAAAAAGUUGCUUUUAAUAUAGCCUGCAACAGAGGCACAAAAAAGUCUGACCAAGAAAUAGCCAGGAUGGACCCCCAUCCUCCGUAGAUCCGUUGAUAUGUUGACUUUGAUUUUGUGGGAAAACCAAAAUUAAAUAAAUAAAAAGGGAAAUUAUUGGUGAGUGACGUGGAUGAGUCGUAGAGGCUCCACGUGUCUGGUCCUGAAAUUUCAUAAUACAAUAAUUGGGGGGGAGGGGGACAAGUCACUGACAAAAUCCAUGCAAUGUUGUUAACAAGCCAUGCACACAUAUAAAGUUGGGAGGGACUUCGCAUUAAGUGUACAAAGUUGUCACACGUUCCCUCGUUGGACCACCUUCACAAAAUUGGUCCUGGACCUUCAAAAUUAUCUUAGCUUAGUUAUUAUUUUUCACUUUUAUCCUAUGCUUCAAUCCCUCUUUAGUCUUGAUGAAAAUGCUUAUUUAUACUUUUGUAUGCAUUCCUGUUCAGUUAAUAUGUAUCAUUUCGAUAUUUUAAUAUUCUUCAAAUAUUUCAAGGUUUUUAAAAUAUUUUUUAAAAAAUGAAAAUGACUUUUUUUUUUCAACAUUUUUGUAUUAAUAAUAUUUUUAUUAGAAAUUUCUAAUAUAAAAAAAUGCCUUUACUUGAUAGGGGAUUUUUUUUUUUCUCUUUUUUUCCUAAUUCAUGCUUAUAACCUUGAGCUAAAAGGGGUUGGGUGAAUAAUAAUUAUGAGCCAAUUGUAGGUUUUUCUUUUCUUCUUUUUUUAUUUUUAUUUUUUCCCAAAAUUAUGAUUCUCCAUUUUUGUCAAUCCUCAUUUCUAAUUGCCUAGCAGCUACAAAUGGACAUGGUUUCCCAUCCAUCCUUGUCCUCAUGGAUGAUGCCAAAGUGUGUUUGGUUUUGUUGGGUCGUUGUGCUCCAUUUCAUAGCCAUUGUUUUAGGCUUUUUAUGACUUAGGAAGCAAACUGUCCAUAUCAAUAACUUCUUUUUGUUUAUUUUGUGGGGGGUUUUAGAGUCUAUGUCAAAAGUGCCUAUUGCCUAAUUAUCAAAAUGGUUUUAGGGCUAUCUAAGAGAACAUAUUUUCAUUUAGAAAAUUUACAAUAAAUUUUAUGUAAAUGUAAAUGAUAAUGAUAUAAAUUGUAAUCUGCUCAAAUUUGAGAUAAAAGCUAUUGAUGAAUUAGUUUUAAGUUAAUAAUUUUAUUUCAUUUUUUAUUGAACCCGAUACAUCAUACUUUCAUGGGUUUAACCCGUUCUUGUUUCACCUUCGAGCUACUUCAAAAUUGUUAUUUCUUGAAUUGUGUAUGUAAUCGGAAUUGCUGAGGUUUAAAGAAUGCCUAAUAUAAGUUAUCAUAUUAAUUGCUCUUAAAAUCAAUACCUCGAGUUUUAAUGUAUGACAAAUUAGUCAUCCCUAUAGUCCUAAGAUUCUUGUUAAGUGUUGCCUAUUAUAAUACAUAUGUUUAAGUUAUAAUAAGGUUUUUGAUGCAGAUGAUGACAUAUAAUAGACUAUAUUUAACAUUAUCAAAAGGGUUAUGGACUUUAUUACAAAAUAUAAUGAAUGAACGUAUAAAAAAACUAUUGGAUUUUCUACAAAUAAUAUAUUCCACAUAAAAAUCUAAACGGGAAUUGAAUGUCAAAAAAUUAAGUAUAGACAUAAAUAGAUAGAUAGACAAGAUAAGUAGAUAAGGUGAUAGGAAGCAACAUGAGGAACCUUCAUUAUAGGUCUGCUCUCUCUAUCUCUCUCUCCAUGUAUAUAUAUAAAACAGUAUCUCAUCAUUUCGAAGAGGAGAGAAGAGAGAAGAAACCAUAUUCUAUUCUAUUGCAGAUUCAAGAAACAAACCCAUUAUUGUACAAUAUCAGUCGGUGCAGAGGCAGGUGAACUUCUCAAGAUUCCAAUCUCAUCACUUUGUUCCGCCAAUAAACUAAGGUGGUUGGUGAAAUGACUCAUUUUUUUCUUUUCAAGUUGGGUGUGUCUCCUCCUAAUUAUGAUGUUGUCGUUCUAUACAUGUUGGCAUAUUCCGAGGGAUAGAAAGGCAACAUUGGAUAUACAUUUUUCAGGCAUACGGGUGGAAAUGUCAAUUUUCUUAGCUUAUAAAAGAUAAUUUUAAUGAUUUAUUAGUUUAUUAAAAAUCAUUAUGGUUAAGUAUAAAAAAAAUGUGAUCAAUUGUGCAUUUAGGUCUCAUUAUUUUGUAUAAACUUUCAUUCUUUUAUAUUUUGAUUUUAUUGUUUUUAUCGGGUCUUGAUUAUAUUAUUAAUCAACGACCUUAAUUUUAUUAUGUAUUUGGAUGGGAAGAUAGAUAAUAAACAUGUAAUCAUUUUUUGACGAGUCCAAAGUAAAUAAUAUCCCGUAUCAAUUCCUAAUGAAUAUUUUUCUCUUCAACUACACAAAACAAUUGAUUGACAUGAUAACAAAAUAUGAAUUGAUGAGAGCCAACUACUCAUUAAAUUUUUUGUCUUCCAAUAUUUACUUUUUAGUAAACGUUGUUGAAAAGUAAGAACAUGUACCCAAAUUUUUUUUUUUUUUUUCAAUUUUUAAGCUCUAUUUCAAGUCAGAAUAAGAUAGAAAGCAUAGUCAAACAAGUUAUAAAUUACUAGGAAGCUUCAUGAUAUAUUUGAAUGGCCCCCAUAGCAGUUGAAUCCAGCUUGCAAAUUUAGCCUAAUUUAGUACACCGCCAAUUUUUAUUCACCUCAAUGUUAAAUCAUAAUUAAUGUGCUCAACCAACUUGAAUCAAAUCAAUGGUGUGGUUUAUGGCUCAUGAACUACUUUUAAAUACAAGGAACCAAAUAAUCUCAUCAAAUCUAUUUUGCCUUUUUGUGUAACGCUUUGAAACUCCCUAAUUUAAUUUUAUCAUAUUAAUAGUUGAAGGAUGAAACCGACUCUUAUUCAAAUUCUAUAUUCUAUUUGAUAUAUUUUUUUUUAUAUAAGAGUUAUUUUUAUAUUAUAGAGUUUUUCUUGUAGGUGAAAGAAUUUUAAAAUAAAAAUGAAAGAAAGAAAAAACCCAAAAGGAAGCUUCCUUUUUUGUUAAAAGUGAGAUAAUUUCAAUUAAUGAAUUUAUAAGGAGAUAUUUAAAAGAAAAGUUAUUUAAAAAAUUUGUAAUUUUAAAAUUAUUUGAGAUGAAAUUAUAAAAAGGUUUAGAGGAGGAGCUUUUAGAAUUUGAAAUUCUUUUAUAUAUAAAUUAUAGAUGGUUUAAAAUAAUCCUUAUAUUUCAAAAAAUAAUAAUUGAUAAAAGGGUACUUUGAAAUUUUUGAUAGUGUGAGAAUUUUGUGAAGGUUUGAUUAUAUUUUAACUUUAAGAGUGAAGAAGAUAAAAGGGUAGGUAGCUUGAUAAACCAUAUCUUAAUUGACAAACAACCUAUUCAAUGGAGUCUAAGUCUUGAUUUUGGACUUGGACCAUCAAUACCCUAACAACUCUUUUACUUUGACCAAGAACUAGAAUAUAUAUAGGAUUGAUCCUACUAUUGUUAAGAAAUAUGUUAGACGUGCUUAAUCGAGUGAAAAUUUUGAUUCUAAAGGUAUUGUUUUAAAAUUUGAUGAUGUCUUUUAAUAAUUCAAGAGAUUGGUUUACUUUUCCGUAUUCUAUUUUGUCAAUUUGCCAUUUUUUUCAACACAUUUAACAUCACAUUGGAACCAUAUUCAAAGAUGUUGCUGUCAAUAAUGACAUGCAUGUAUAUCCUCAAGUUGAAUUUAGAGAAUUAAAAAACUCGGGAAUUCAAUUAUAAGUCAUAAACUGCAUCAUUAGCAAAAGAUUCUAACCUAGUGCUCAAUUAGGGAUUUUUUUUUUUUUUUUAAAAAAAAAAACAAAAAGUUGGAUAAAAUGCCACCAAAAUAUCUACCAUCCCAAGUAUUCCUAGGGUACACCAUGACGCCACUGAACCCUAAAUCCUAGUCAUGAAAAGACAAGGCAGGUGCUCUAAGGCCACAAUAAAUUUUCCACAUUCCCGUUCUCCCAACAAUACCAUAAGAUUUAUUACUCGGUCUUCCCUAAACUUGUAAGUCCUCCCACCACCUAUUUUAAAUUUAAAAUUUAAAUUUUUUUCAGAAAAACCAAAACCUAAGCCCAUUGGGAGUCUCAUUCAAGGGAGUUCCCGGAAAUGAAGGUAAAGUCCCUCAAUCUUAAUGCCAUUUGCCUUGGGCAGAAGACGACCUAUCAAUGCAUGCAUAUCCACAUCAAGGGUUGUAUCCUUAAUCCUUAUCUCUCUAGCUGGUUUCACCGACCUUUGUAAAUUAGGGGUCAAAGUUUAGUAUGGAAUAGCACUUUUUAGUACCAUAGUCAAUGUUCUUGUAUGAAUUAAUGUGAUCAAGAUUCGAAAAACAUGACAACAGAUUCGACUUUCAAUUCUGUUUAAAAUCACAUUCACCGACAAAUCACAAAUGAUAUUUAAAUGUACUUUUUUUUAUAUGAUAUGAUUUUGUUCCAAUUUAUAAUACCAAAUAAAUACGUAUCAAAAAGUAAAAUCAAUUAAAAGAAAUGUUACAUAAUACCUUAAUUAUAUUUAUUUAUAAAUCAACCCAAAUUUUUGAAAAAUCUAAUGAUUAAUAUGAUGUUUCUUAGAGAUACUAGACGAACGCAAAAUGAUAAAUACUUUUGAAGCAAAAUCAUGACGUAUACAUUCUUACAUAGGUGUACAUUUUGUGCGGUUAUUUAAUUUACACGAUCCAAGUCAUCAACCUCACCGCAUUUUCAUUUAAUAUAAGUACGUAAAAUUAAAUAGGAGACUGCCAAAUUCAAAUUCUAGUCAAUGCAAACCCUAAUCACCAUGUUGCAAUUUCAUUGUCGUACCAUGGUGACCUUACAAGAGGAUCCACAUGGAGCAUGCUCCUGAUAUAUCGCAAUCUCAUAAAUUUAAAAAACAAAUAAUAAAAAGGUGAUAAUUUUUUUUUAAAAAAAUUGGUACAUUAAAUGGAUGAAUAAUGAAGCCAGGCUGUAUGGAAAAGUUUGUGAAGAAAUGGUGAAAUUUUGGCCACGUGUUGGGAGUAUUUAUUGGGACUUCCCUUGUUUUUUUCAACCUUUUUUAAAAAAAAAAAAAUUUCUAUGGAGAGUACAUGAACAUUUAUUUCAAUGUAUAAAUGAAUCCCACAUGGGUCUUUUAUACACCUCCCUCUGUGACCAACGGUCCACAUUAAAUUGGCCUUACUUGCUACUGGGCACGUGCCAUGCACCCGGGGCUCAUGCUACUAGCCCUUGACAUCCGGAUGCCAGCUUUAGACAAGUUCGUUUAAUACUCAGAUUGGAUUUGGAUUGAAUUUUAUUCAUCACCUUGGACCAAAAGUUUUGGCUUCCUAACCCAAAUUCGAUCUAUACAACCCAAGCAACCCAUUCAAUCCAAAUAUAAGCCAAGUUUGGAAAACCGAGGUGGAUCGGACAUUGAGCAUUUUGGGUUAAGAGGUUAGGUUAGAUUUGAGUUGAAUGUUUAUUAAUUCGGAUCAGACUAGAAUUAAGUGCAAAAUCAAAUCAACCCAACCGAGUUGCUGCCUUAAUCCCAAGUGGUUUUUCACACCCCUUAGUAUUCUAAAUUUUUAAUGAUAUUAAAAUAAAUUGAUCUAUAAAUACAUAAAUAAUUUCUUAAAACCUUCCAAAUAUGUCUUAUUAGGAGGCAGACCUACGCCCACCCGAUUGUCAUCCCUUGCAAGGGUAGGGGCAUGGGCUUCAUUGCUCAGGCCGAUCUAAACCAGCGAGAGCCCUUGCCCGGGCUGCGCUUAUAUAUGGACCAGGCUUCAAGCAAAUGGACCAAAUUUCCACCCCUAAGUCAUAGCAGAUUCAUUUGCCUUGGGCAAUGCCAAUCAAGAAUUUCAAAACUUGGGCCGUCUUUGGGCUUUGCUCACAACCACCCGGCCUUGCCGCAUUCAGCCCAAAAUCACAGCCCCAAGCUCAGGGCAACCAAUAAAAUUCUCAAAUAUCCUGAAUGGCUAUGAUUUCCAUACAACCAUGAGCUUAUGAAAUGAAAACCCCACUUCAAUCCUACAAAUUUAUUUCCCAGAUCAUUUUCCGGAAUGGCCAUGAUUUCCAAACAAUACCCAACAGACUGGUAAUCCAAACAAAAGACUAGGGGUCAAUUUAACUAAGUUUUCAAAAACAGUUCUCAAAAAUCAAUUUCCAAAAAUUAUUUUCAGGAUCAAAAUCUGUUUGAAAACAGUAUGUAUUAUCUGUGAAAGCAUCAUACAAUUAUGCACAAGGGGAAUGCUCUCAGCCUAUUCUCCAUGUUUUGAAAUGUUUAUCAAGACACUAAAAAACGCCUUACAUUUAUUCUAAAAAGUCACCCUAUUUUCGAAACAAAUUCUCAAAAAACAUUGUUCAGUUCAACAUUUGCCAAACGUGUUCUUAAAGUUGGAUGACUCUUUUCUAUUUUAAAGAACACGGCCAUUUUUAAAAACAGUUGCAAAAUGGGCUCUAAACCAUCUUGGAAAACAAGGGAACAUGGUUUGAAAUUAACAGAAGGCAUGGUACCUGAAAACUAUAUGCAGAUGAAUGGAAAAUUAGAAGCAAUGCCCGAUGGGGAACUUUUCCUCCUUGAUCUACUCCACAUUUCACACUGCAUCAACAAAAUGUUUUCCAUGGAAUUCUCAAGGUUUCAAAACUUAAUUUCAGACGCUUUAAACGCCAUAGUGCAAAUUUUGUAAGGCUUCCUACAUGAAGUUGUUUCUAAGAUACCAUGAAUUGAUGCUUCAUCCUGUUGAAGCUCGCUUCAAAAUAUUGACCCACCAGCAAUUCAACUAUCAAGCCUACAAAAAGGAUUCUAUCAUCAGAAAAAUCUUAGCAAAAAGUCUAUGAACACAUCACCCACUGUUUUACAGAACAUAGAUUUCAGUUUGUAGCUUAGUAGCAAACUGUUUAUCGAGUUCCCAAACUUCAGUUUUGAAGUUGGUGACAAACUUUAUGGUCCGCCAGGCUCAAUAAUCAUACCAACCCUUUUCUCCAGAUGAGUUUGGGAACAAACAUACCAGUUUGUUAAUCAAACCCACCUUCAUAAUAUUGAUCAAAACCAAACCUACCAGGGGGCAAGUUCAAAAUGUAAUCUAAAUAACCAUAUUGAUCAUCAAGGAAUCCAUCACCAUCACCAAAUCUUAACAAACAGUCUAUAAACAUAUCACCCACUAGAACAUGGAUUUCAGUUUGUAGCUUAGUAGGAAACUGUUUAUCAAGUUCCCAAACCUCAGUUUUGAAGUUGGAAACGAACUUUAUGAUCCGCUAGGCUCAUUAUGCAUACCAACCCUUUUGUCUAGAUGGGUUUGGGAACAAAUAUACUAGUUUUCUAAUCAAACCCACCUUCAUAAGAUACAUCGAAACCAAAUCUACUGGAGGACAAUAUCAAGAUGUAAUCUAAAUAAUUGCAUUGCACAUUAAGGAUUGAUAUGCUAGUAGAGAAAUGCACCUGAUGUCAAAUCAAGUAUGAAUACUAUACUGGCAUUGUCAAUUGCUGGCAUGGGGCCUCAAUACUAAUGCAAUUAAGUUAUACAAACCAAGCAUCGAAAUGGUUUGCUAAAAUGUACAGCCAUUAAUAUGGAAUUUUUACAUUUUCAAAACUAAAUAUAAUAUAUACGAAAUGGGCAGUUAACAUGGUGAGUGUUAAUAUCAAAGUUAAUAGAAGAGAUAAGGCACACCUAGUAACAGGAUGUAACAGGACUAGACGAACAAAUCCACUUACACUUCCGAAAACAUUUCAACAAUGUGUGGGCAUUACAGGCAGCAAUAAAGAUGUAACAUUUAAGCUGCAAAGCGGAUCCCAACAUUUACUUUUGCACAUUGAGAUAAGGUAACCGAUCAUUCAAUGGUCACAGAACCUUAGUACUAGUGCAAUCUAAUCACUAUAUUAACAUCAAAGUUGAUAAAAGUAAAGCACAUUGCAGUAGAAGAAUCAAUUGGACCAAAUUUCAGUUUUGUCUCAAGCAAAUACAAUUAGGUUUCUCUGUGGCCUAAAAUUCGGGAAUAGUUUCGGGAAAUUACAGGCAACCGAAACAUGUUAUGUUUAAGCUGCAAAGCGGAUUCCCCCAUUUCUUUUUGCACAUCAAGAUUAGGUAACUGAUCGUUCAAUGAUCAUGAAACCUCUUUACUAAUGCAGUUUAUUCACUUUACAUUGAGUCUAAACCAUAUACUAAAACCUCAAAAUCAUAUAUCAUAAGGGAGCUCAGCUAUUCCAUUGACCCAUCACAACAGAAAGGAUUAUGAUCUCAACCCAAAAGCACUUAAUACAAAAUGGGUGGAAACCCAGCUGCCAUAUUGAAGUCAACUCACAUUUAGGCUAUUCUGCAGCAUCUUCUUAUAAACCCUAAAAAUUCCAACCACAAAAUACAGAUAAGCAGAUAGAUAUGCAGUGAUACACUGCACCCUUUCAUGGAAACACCAUGAUAAAUCAGCAAAUACCCUAUUGAAUCGUUCCAUUCGUGCUAAAUAAUCCCAAGAGGUAAGAAUACAACUAAAUAGAACAAUUUCAAACCCAAAAAUGAAAUACCCAGAUUCAGUCUGACCCCAAACAUACAAAAUUGAUCAUAAAAAGCAAAGAAAACAGAAUGGUUUGUAGCAUAAAGCUGGUUCAACUCAUAAAAUAUAACAUCUAUUCUUAGGGUUUUUCACUUCUUAAACCCUUGCUCCAUGCUUUCUUGUGGACUCAGGAGGUGAAGAUGGUAUUUAUAAGCAUUUCAUGUUAGGGCAAGGGAGGCACCCAGACGAGAAGUGAGAUCAACCGUCAGGAAAAAAAGUAGGAGAAUCACACGGUAGAGAGAUUUGGAUGAUAUUUCUACCGUUUUAUUUUCAUUUUCAAAUGUAAAAAAGUGUAUGGUGAUUUUGAUAUUUCAAAAUUAUUAAAUAUUUUUCUUUUAUUUAAUUAUUUUUAUAUUUAAUAAAAACAUUUUUAAAAAUACAAUUUCAAACAUAAAGUUUAAUCGUUGUAUUCUACUUGUUUGAUCUAUUUCCCUAUAUUAUAAUAAGAACUGGGCCGAGCUGGGUUGGGUUGGGCCCAACAGCUUAUAUUCUAACCCUAAUUUCCCUGCAAUUUUGAAGUCGGGGAGAGAGGUUUUGAGCUUUUGGGGUGCAACCAUGGCGACGAUGCUAAAGUGCGCAGCGGACAAUUUGAGGUGCAGGUUAAUCAGUAGCAGAGGGCUCAGCCACCAUGCGGCUAUAUCAGCGCCUUUGGGGAGGAUGAUGGACUGUACAACCGGACUACAGUUCGUUCUGCCUGAGUCAAACAAUGAGUCACAGGAAGACCCCAAAAUCGAAUUACCCAAUCCCUAUUUUUCUGGUUCUAUGGAGCUUAUGGCUGUCCCAAAGAGAAAGGUCGGUUUUCUGUAUCGAUUGUUGGUUAGUUUAAGCAUUUGGGUCUUUCAGAUUUUAAUCAUUGACUUCUGGGUUGUCCUGUGAUUAGGUUGUCAUCUCAUUUCAAAAUUGAAUUCGAGGUGUUUUUACUGUUUUGAGUAUAGAUUAUACUGGUAGGAGGUGAGCAGGAAAUCAUUAUAAAGUAAAGUUUCUGUAUAAUGUGAUGUAGAUUUUUUUUCGGGGUCGUGGGAUGGCUGGUUAAGCGUUUGGGUCUUUCGAAUUUUGAGCAUUGAUUGUUGGGGUGUCCAACGACUUGGCUUUUAUAUCGUUUCAUAAGUGAAUUUUGAGGUAUUUUGCCCCUUCUGGAUAUUGACCAUACUUGUAGUAAGUGGGAAGAAAUUAAUAUAAAUUAAAGGUUUUAUGUGGUGUGUUGUUGAUUUCAUUCUUGGGUAUUGAUUGUUAUCUGGUUUAAGCAUAUGGGUUUUCAUAUUUUGAGCAUUGAAAGUUUUGUUGUCCAAUGGCUUUACGUCCACCCUAUUUCAGUAGUGAAUUUUGAAUUGUUUUUGCUUCUUUGAGUGUUGAUUAUGAUUGUGGUAGGUGAGCAGGAAAUAAGUCAUUGAGUAUAAAUCAAAGGUUCUGUCUAAUGUGUUAUUGAUUUCUUUUUUUGGUGUCAAUUGCUGGCUGAUUUAUCAUUUGGGGAUUCCAUAUUUUGAGCACUGAUUGUUGGGUUGUCCAAUGAUCUGGAUUUAAUCUGGUGUCAGCAGUGAAUUUUGAGGUGUCUCCUUUGAAUAUUGAUUAUACUGAUGUUCAGUGAGCGGGAAGCGAGUAUAAAUUAAUAUACUGAAAAAAUCAUAUUAGUUUAAGAGCUUGUGUAAUACAUGCAUAAUAAAUCUAAAUCUAGAAAAUGAAAUCUUGAAUUAGAAUUCCCGGGAUGGAUGAGCUAACAUGCGAAAUCUUGAUAUCUAGACCUAUAAUGAGAGAAGGAAUGCAAUAUUUUAUCGGAAAAUUAAAUCCAUUACAGAAUAGGUUUAUGGAUGUUAAUUAAAUAUGGAUGAUCAAAACAAACUGUUUUACAAAAAUCGGUGAUGAUCAAACCACACUUUAUCUUCCCAAUGCAACAAAACCAAGCACAGUUGUGAAUUCAUAAUUUCGGUUUUCCAUACAUAAAAUAGGAAUCAGUGAAUGGUAUCAUUUCAAGUCACACAAUUACAGGUAGGCCUAUAUUGUGAAAGCUCUGCUUGCAUUGUAAAGAAGCCUGGAUUGAGGAAAAAAUUUAUAAAGAAAAAAGUGUACAUACUCACACCCAGAUUUUUAAUGUGCUAUUUGGGGUUUUUCUUAUUUAUUUCAUUUAUUUUAGGUGAUGAAAAUUUGUUACUUUCUGAUCUCAAAGCUAACUAUAUGUCCUAAAUAUGCAGGUGUCUCGCCAUAAAAGAGGCAUAAGAAAUGGACCAAAGGCUCUGAAACCUGUUCCAGUCAUAAUCCGGUGCAAGUAAGGGCACUGAUUUUUUAGUUAUUCAAAUAGAAAAUUCAACAUGUAAAUAUACUAUGAAGGCCAAUAAACACUGAACUUAAUUGAAUGUUUUCCUCAGAUAGACUAACACCUGACUAAGCGGAUAUUUGAAUUUUUUCCUUUUUUAAUAUACUAAGGGGUGAUUGGUGUAAGCACCAGUUUUGUGUUGAUUAAAUUUAUCUAGGAAAAAAACUCGAGCAAAGGCUGUCUCAAAUGCCUUGUCUUGUUGCAUAAGAAAGAAAGGGACAAUUGUUCAUUAGUUUCUUUAGUGUCAUUUUCCCUUUUAGUUCAUUAUAUAAGUUGUAUUGUGCUUUUUUCUAAGACUAUUAGUGGUCUAUUUACUAUGUAAUAGAAUUUGUAGUGCAAGUGGUGCAGUAAAUUUCUUAGCUUCAUUAUCUUGAAAUCAUUUCUGUCCAAAAAUUACGAUAAAGUAAAUCAUUUCAAGUAAAGUGAGAUAAGGAAACAUUAAAUAUUUAAAUAUGAUUUUUGGACAAGAAGAGGUGUAAAUGCAAUGUUAGAGCAAGUUGCAUGUAUCUAAAAAUAUCCCUAGUAUAGUCCUUGCUUUUUAGCCAUUGCUUUUUAACAUGAAUGAUAGACACAGAAUACAUCAUCCACCUCUAAAAUGAUUAUCAUGUGCUUUUAAAAAGAUGCAUGAACUUAGGCAACUUGGUCUUCUAGUUGGUAUUAAUCUCAUGUGCAUGCAUAAAGAGUUUUUCAAGUUUUUUGUUUCUUCCUUCUGAUUUGUGAAGCAUGUCAUAGUUUUAAACCUCAAAAUACAAUUUCCACGUUCUAUGUACGUAAAAGUUGGACGAUUGUUUUAGUUUGGGAUAUGGAUGAGAAAAUAAGAAUUGGUCCACCCUGACUUAAGUUUUUAGAAUUGGUAUGCUCCUAAUCAUCUCUAUUUUGACAUGUCAUACAUUUUAAAUUAAGGAAAAUUAGCUUAUUUAAAAUUUAUUUUGAAAUUGUCUCUCCUAAGAAUGACUCUGCUUCAAGAGAUGCACUUGUCUCAUAUUAUGAACAAACCAUCCCUGCAGCUAAAACUGCUGAUUACCAAAAUCAAGCUGAUCUAGCAUUAAAGAAAUUCGUUUUUGCUAAACAAAUCUUGAAUUUUUGUUUCUACACGAGAAACUAGACUUGAAAUUUGCCUCAUUUAGGCAUUUGGGAGCUUUCCAUAUGUAUUUUAGGUAUUGUUCCUUUGCUCUUUGCCCAGUAGGAUGAACAGACAUACAAACUAUAGUUAAUAACAACUUAGCUUAUUAUACAGACCCUUUGGCUUAUUUCAUCUUAUUUCAGUGUCUCAGACUUAUUUUUUCUCUUCAGUCGCAAGAAUACACAUUUGAAUUUUGCUUGCUCUUGUUUCUAUUUUCUUUUUGAGCCUUCUCUUCUUGCAUGACCCCCCCCCCCCCCCCCCUUGGCUUGAUAUUCACCUUCUCCUUAUCAGAGAGGAUGCGGUGUACUGCACAAUUUGGAUUUUUAUUUUCAUUAUUCAUUCUUUGUCCAGGAGCUGUGGCCGAGUCAAGCUACCACACUUUUACUGUUGCAGUGGAGAUAGAGGGGGAUCAGGGGAAGGGAAUUAGUCAGCUUUUUGUCCAUGUUUGCUGCAAAUGAAGCUAGACAUUAUGGUCCAAGCAACUGAAUCACGAAGUUCCAUCGGUUUAUAUUCCUCUUUAAACAUAUUGCAGAACUCUCAAUUGCAAAUUUUUGAAGCACAUAUCAUCUGUUGAUGUUUUCAUAAAUUAGCUGAUUGGUCUCAAUUAUUUUCCCACAGAGUUUAAGCUAUUAUAGGUCAUUCCUGAAAAGGAAAAACACAUUCACUGACAGUUCUGUCAGUCUUUAUUUUUUUUUGUUUUCUCACUUUUGAUUCAUGAUUCUAGGGGCUUGCGGAAUUCCCACAGGAAUCCAACCAUGAAAACCUGGACCAACUCAACAAGCUUUCUUUAUUAGAAUUUCAAUUCUCCCCAUUCUUCAACCCCAUGCCCUUCAAGGUAGCAAAGAAAGCUUCUGUAUCACAUUUGUCUUACAGGUUUAAAGAUGUAAAAGGGGUGAGGCGUGGUCAAGGACUCCUUGUCUCAUCCCUGCUUGUAAAUUUUUUCCCCAUCCCUGCUGCCAUUCUGCGUUUUAGGCUAGAAGAGUUCCAGGGGGACAAGUUCCCCAUUCCCCUCUUGAAAUUCACAUUUAAUAAUAUGAUCUGGCCGGAUUCUGGGUGGGGAAUAUAGGGUCCUGGUCCUCAACCCUGCCUCGUUCUGGGUGGAUUCCAGUGAAGACCUGAUCCUAUUGGUUUUUUUCUUCUUUUUUUGGGGCAUCCUUCCCAUCCCUAUUAAGGUUACACAGGUCAGAACCUACUAACAUGUCAUUAGCGUAGGUUGUUAGUAUUUCCUACUUUGAGAAAGGUAUCAAACGAAUCUACCAACUUGAAAAUGCUGUCAAUUGAUUCCACUACCCCCACCCCAAUUGCUUGAAGCUAGUCACUUGAGCCACAGAAAGGAAAAAAUGCCUUGGAGUCUUUGACAAACACCUCCACAGCUCAUAACAUUUUGUCUCUUUCUCUAUUGUUCCAUUCGUACUACACCCAACCUUGAUUUGUUUGUUAUUACCUUUUUUAUAUUUAUUUUCGGCGACAUGGGUCCAUCCCUUUACCCUACAUUGUUUAAAUAUCUGGAAAUUUGAACUAGGGACCUUUCGAUCAUUGUUUCAGGACACGAUCUACGCUCUAGGAGCUAGCUUCCCAUUUCUUUGGUUUGAUCAUGUUCAUAUGAUCAGAGAGGACUUAUGAUCAAUUUAUACAUGAUUUCAUGAUUUGAAUGUUUAUCAUGAAUUUCCCUUUCUGCACUGGAGUUAUUAUAUCAUGUCUUGGACUUUCUUCUUUCACAGAUGUUGAUUUUUUCAUAUGAUUUUUCGUGCUAAUUUUCAUGAUCCCUAUAUGGUCUGUAUGAAUCUUCAAGCAAUUCUCAAAUGACGAGGUUCUGUUUCUCAUUUAAAUUAAAUUUAUUUAAAAAAUAAAUAAGGAAAAAGUACAGGAACUUAAUCAUUGUAAUAUGUCAGAACAGGAAAGGAAUCAUAAAAUUCAUUGAACCCACCAUAGUACACGGUAUUGCCAAUUACGGCGUCAUUUUUCCUCAGUUCAUGAUUGGAUCACCUGCUCCAGCAAGUACCUAUCGCCCCCUCGCGAUUUGAUUGGAUGAAUUUCAAAACAACUAUUAAACUUCGUCCUUUUAUUGGUUUGUGAGUUCCAAAGCGUCACAGUGGGCCUAGCAAAGAGCGUCGACAAACUAACCCUAGUUAGUUUAAAACAUUUAAUUGUGGUUAGAAAAUGUUCAAUUUACAUUUCUCACUCCCUAUUUUUUUUUUUUAAGAAUUACAAAGUUUAUCAGGUGAUUUUUGAAAUUACCAUAUCCUCAUUUCCUUUUAAAAAAUAUAAAAAUUCAGAAAAUAUCGCUAUAGAAUUUUAUGCUAUAUUUCAAAUUAGAUACAAUAAUUAUGAAGGAAGAGAGUGAUUGUCGAUAAAAUAUUAGUACCCUCUCGGACAAGUGGAUAUUUUUUAUAUAUAAAGUUAGUAGAUUUUUUAAUACUAACGAAGUCAUGGAUUUUUUCUUUAAUAAAAAAAGAAGAGUAAUAUAAGAUAGUAGUUUGAGUUGGCCACUAAUCAACGACAAAUGUGCUUAUAUCACAUAUUAUCAAAUAAACCCUAAACAUAAAAAAAUAAUUUAUCCGACACAAUAAACAAAUGGUUAUUUGUCAUUAUAUUUAUUAUUUUUAUUUAAAGGUUUUCUUGACAUGACUACUUUUUACAUUUACAAUUUUUUUUUCUUACCUCGGACUUAGUGCUUACAUAAGAUAAAAUAUUAUUAAUAUAUUUUGAUAUUAGAUAGCUACUUACCACCUGCCAAGUUGCCAGUAUUUUUUUUUUUUUUUAUUUUAUGAAAUUACCAAACACAUUUUUUUUAUUUGUUUAAAAAAAACAAAGUUUACCAAACAAGUUUAUUAUUAAUAAGAAAAAAACUUUAAUUAAAAAUAAUGCUUUUGGAAAAAAAAGGAGGGUUUUCAUGACAAACUUUAAUUAUAAAAGGGGAAGUUUGCAAUUGGGAAAACCUAAGGGAGGAAAUUAUAAUUAGAGUAAAACGACAAAGAGAGGCGCUUAUUUGAAUGGUGAGAGAGGUUUCUGGAGAUUGUUGAAUCAUUUCAGAGAAGACAGCGAUCUUGAUCCAUGGCUGUCUCUAGCUGCCCUAGGGUUUCCGCCGCCUUCGAGUGCCGUUCCGAACCAGACUUCUGCGGCGGACCUCAUCGCCCGGAAGCUUUUGCCUCUGGCGGCCGAUUCUCCGGCAAGGCAAGCUCGGUGCCGAGUCACCAAAUUUUCGGUGCCUCCGCUCUGUCUUCUUUGAUCUUCCGAUUCCCUCCGAACUUUGUGCGCCAGCUCAGCACCAAGGCUCGGAGGAACUGCAGCAACAUCGGCGUCGCGCAGGUCGUUGCGGCUUCUUGGUCAGCUGACUCGGCCGCCGCCGCCGCCGCCUCCGCCUCCGCCGCAGCCGCUGCGUCGGUGGAGGCGUCGGUGGAGGUUUCGGUGGUGGAGAGUAGUGGUAGUGAUGUACAGUAUGAGGAUUUGGCCGAUGAGAAGGCCUCAUUUUUGGGUUUUGAUGGGACCCUUACUAUUCAUGCUGGUAUAUAUAUCUCUCUCUGUUUCCAUCCUUCUAUUUUGAUUCUCCGCUUUUGUGUUUCUUUUGUUUUAAGGAUUUGUCUUUUUCUUUUUAUGUUUAAUCUGUGCGUCUUGGUUUUGUUUGGUAGAUAGAUUUGGUUUCGUUUUGUUGUUUGUAGCGUCCAAUUUGACGGAUUUAACCAUUUUCAUGGACAUCUGAGAUGGUAUGGCUUGCCUCAAUGGGAUUUUCUAGGAAGGGUUGAACUCUCUGGUGAAUAUAAUUAGGAAAGUCAGCCGAUUAAUUGAUUCUUUAUCUGGGUUGGAACUCUUGUAUUUUCUUGGUUUUGUGGGCUUUUAUCUGUAAUUCAUGCGUCCAUUUCUGGUUGACGCCGCCACGCCUAAUGGACUUUUGCAGAGCUCAGCUCGCUGGUCUGAACCAUGGUCAGAACAAAAAAACUGGCUGACCUGUUGUGUAAAGCCUUGGUCAAUCUGUAUUAUUUAUAAAAUAUAUCAUCCAAAACAAAAAGUUCCUUUUCUCCCUUUUAUCCGUCUCAAAGUGCAUUUUUUUUUUGUAAUGAAAUGAAUUUGGCAUAUUUGUUAAGCCCUUCUUUUUACAUGCAUCUUGUUUAUUAUUUAUUUUGGGGGUUAGCCACUCAGUGAUGUUGCCUUUGGUUUGAGCAGGUGAAAGAUUAGGUCGCGGCAUAGUUACUGAUGCAAUUACUACCCCAGUGGUCAAUACUUCUGCUUACUUUUUCAAGAAAACUGCUGAGCUCAUUGAUUUCAAGGUAUGCGUUCUACUGAAACGAAAUCCAUUGCUACAUCUCAUUAUUCAUUUAGAAAUGAAAAGAAUGUGUCUCUGAACUUUUGAUAGGAGAAACGCCGGGCAAGUUUUGAAUAUGGGCGUUAUGGAAAUCCAACAACGGUGGUUCUGGAGGAGAAGAUAAGGUUUACACUCCAUUCUAAUACUUUUUUGUUGGUAGAACCCAUUUGAUCCAAUUUUUAAUGAGGUCCUUCUCUCUCUCUGGAACAGUGCACUUGAGGGGGCUGAAUCAACUGUGAUAAUGGCAUCUGGAAUGUGUGCUAGUACAGUUAUGUUGCUGGCAUUGGUUCCACCUGGUGGGCAUAUGGUGACAACCACAGAUUGUUAUAGGAGGACAAGGAUUUUUAUUGAAACCUUUCUGCCUAAAUUGGGGGUUGAGGUAUUGUUUUCAUCCCCAUUUUCUUGAUUUACGUGUUAAGUUGUCCGGGUGGGGGGAUGGAAGGGAUGCAAAGUUGUGUUUGUUAUAAUGAUUUCAAUAAAUCAGUAUAUUGUUCAAUAUAUGAACAGUUCCAUCAUCUCAUCGAGUAUUUUCCAUGUUUAGAAACCUUCCUGUGGGGAUUUUUCUAUGACAAUGUACUUUUUAAUUUUGUAAACUUCCAUGAGCGCUUAUGUUCAUAAUAACUGAAAUGCAGGUAACUGUCAUCGACCCUGCUGAUACGGAAGCUCUGAAAUCUGCACUGGAUAAGAACAAUGUCAGUAUUCAAGAUGGUUGUUAGUUUUUCGAAGUUUUCUUUUCAGUAAUCAUUUUUCAAAUGGCAGGUCAUACUGAGAUGACUGACAUUGUCACAUGCAGGUUACACUUUUCUUCACUGAGUCUCCGACCAAUCCAUUUCUCAGAUGUGUUGACAUUGAGUUGGUUUCAGAGCUUUGCCACAGGAAGGGAGCACUAGUCUGCAUAGACAGUACUUUUGCAACACCUCUCAACCAGAAGACCCUUUCUCUUGGGGCUGAUCUCGUGCUGCAUUCUGCAACAAAAUAUAUUGCAGGACACAAUGAUGUAGGUCAAAUUGCAUUGGUGAAUGUAGUUGGUUAAAAGAGUAGUUUUAAUCAGUCCAUAGAGUACCAUAAUCUUAGCAUUAAACAAGCAGAUUUCUGUGCCAGGUAAUUGCAGGUUGCAUUAGUGGUUCUGAAAAGUUGGUUUCAACUAUUCGGAAUUUGCAUCAUGUUCUGGGUGGUGUUCUCAACCCGGUGAGUAAUCUUUUAGUGUUGUCAGGAUAACCUAUGCUGUUUUCAACCUUUCUUACACACUGACUACUGGCAGAGAUGUGAUGUAAAUUUGGAACUUGUUAACAAUGCAGGCAUUAUUAAUCAGAUAUAUUUUUAGACUUCUAAACUAGAUGUUUGUGGUGGUGUGUAAAACAUGAUGUGCAUAUGGGUGCUUAUGAGUUUCUUUAAGAUUUUCCUACAAGGAAUUCUUGAAGUUGAAGAACUGUAAAUCUUAUUUAUUCCACUGCAAGUCUUAUGCAGCUUGAGCCUGAAUCAUAAUAACUUGUUUUUUAAAUUUAUUUUUAUCAGAAUGCCGCAUAUCUGAUCAUCCGAGGCAUGAAGACACUGCAUCUUCGUGUACAGCAACAAAAUUCAACAGCAUUGAGGAUGGCCAAGAUUUUAGAGGCCCAUCCUAAGGUGCAUUUCAAUUCUAGAAAUUUCAUACUUCACCUCUUGUUUUUCUAAUUUCUGUUGAUAAAGAACCUACUGUGGCGUUGCUAGUAUUACUGAAUCUGGCAUGUAAACAUGUAGGAAGUUUUUGCCUGCAGAAUUAUGCUGGAAUUAAGUAUUAGAAGCAUCACAAUGGUGAUGAGAUGACGCUCUAUCUUUAAAAAUAAUUUGCAGCUAGCACAAUCAAUGCCCUAUAAGUUUUUGUAUCUGUCAUUAUGGAGCUUCAUUGGUUAUGCGCAGACAGCAAAUACGUAGGAGUCAUGCCUAUGUAUAUGCAUGGGGAAAGACAGUACACUAUCAUAAAAUGAGAAGGCUUUGAAUCAGACUUUAUCUUUAUUUUUAUUUUAAAAGAAGGCCAUCUUUAUUGGAUUUGCUUCAUGCUAAACAAUUUAUGCAUAUAUAAUUUGAUAAAAGCUAAUAAAACCUUAUUUUAGAACAUUAAAUAGAGACCAUCCAUAUUAUAUUUUUCAAUAAUAGUUUUAAUGACUCCUAAUUUAAUAUCACCACACCACAACCAACCAAGUCACUACAGACUACCAUUAGAGUUGCUACCGCCUACAGCAUUUUCAGUCUGUAAAUUUAGUGUUUAACUGGAUCCGCAUUGCAAUCACUACUCACUCUGCUGCCACCUCAAUGCAGUGAGUAGGAAACCACCACUGCAGGAUAACCAUGCCUCAAAGCCCAUUGCCACUGCCACCUCAGAGCUGGGAAUUCCCACCCUUACACCACACCAUGAUGAUGCAGCCCACCACACACCACACCACCCUAUGUGACUGCCUUUGUCAUGACUUGAUCCUCACUAGUAAAUACUGUUUGAAUAACUUGAUCCACAAUCAUUGAUGCCAACUUACCUAGUUUUACCUCUGCUAUUUUCAUCAGGCCCAUUAAACUGCAUCAGAUCACCACUAUAGGGAAAUUAUUAACUCAUUUUUCUAUGUUCCUGAGGUACCUGAAGUUUGUGCAUAAUUUGCUUGUCUGCCUGUUUAUCUCUUUAAUUAAUUUCUCUUGUACCACAUGCUGCUAUUUUCCAAUUCUCAUUGUGCAUCUAGUCCAUCAAAAGCUGUUAACUUCAAUAUAAAGCAGUAAGGUUGCAAGAAUCCGUAUGAAAAAUUGCAUUCUUCAAAAUAUAAUCAUUUACCAUCUUAAUCUGUGAGACCCUGAUUGAUAGAUCAUUGGCAGGUGAAAUGCGUCUAUUAUCCAGGCUUGCCAAGUCACCCUGAACAUCAUAUUGCCAAGCGACAGAUGACUGGUUUUGGUGGAGUAGUCAGUUUUGAGGUAAGCAUUUGUAACCAUUUUCAUGUGCUGGUGUGAGGUUGUUCAUCUGGAAGUUGGAUUUUAAGUGCUUAUUGCUAUUUAAAUUUGCAGGUUGAUGGAGACUUAACCACCACCAUCAAGUUUGUUGAUGCAUUGAAAAUCCCUUAUAUUGCCCCAUCCUUCGGAGGCUGUGAGAGCAUUGUUGAUCAGCCUGCGAUUAUGUCUUACUGGUAUUCCCCUUCAUUCCUCUCAUGUAGUAGCAUAAAUGAAUACCCCUGUUUGGCAUUGGUCUCACUGAAUAAUCACAAGACUUGCACAUUGGGUUUCACCUUGUCCUUGUUACUUGGUUCUGAUUCUUUUAAUUGAAUUGUUCGUGCUUUCCAAAACAGGGAUCUUAACCAGUCGGAGAGAGCUAAGUAUGGUAUCCAGGACAACUUGGUUCGGUUCAGCUUUGGAGUUGAAGACUUUGAAGACUUGAAGGCUGACAUACUCCAGGCUCUGGAGAGCAUAUAGGGCGCGGCACCUACAAGUUCUGACACCUUCUGUUUUCCUUAUUUUUAGUGUUCUGUUUUCCUUAUUUUUAGUGUUUUAAUAGCUGAAUGUUGUCUUCUUUCUUUUGUGGUGGAUCAUCAUGAAACGAAUUGAUCCCAUUAAUAACUCAAUGCUCCUUCAGGACGAUGUUUUUCUUUGUUGUGGUAUUGAAGCUUCCUAUUCUUGAACUUGAACGAUGGAAAAGCCUAAAUGAAAGAAAUAAAGAGGGAAAAUGAAGGUUUGGUUAGUAGUAGUAUGUCUGAUCAUUCCAAAACCUUCUUCAAUCUAAAUUCAUGGCCAGGAUUAUCUAUGAAAUCACAAAAGCACUCCAUCAAAUAAAUAUAAAUCUAAAAUGUUUUACGGGCUUGAUUUGAAUGGUCAUUGUCACCUUAUAAUGUUAUAAUCUACCAUUUCUAUGAAUUUGUCAUUGUCACCUUAAUAAUGUUUCAAUGUACCAUUUUUAUGAAGCGUACCAGCUGUUGUGAUCUAGAAGCAGACAAAGAGGGACGGCUUCUGUCACUUACGGCUACUUAGCAGAAGCCAUGGAAAUAAGUCAUUUCGAGAACAGAAAGUCGAAACAAACAAUUCUUUCGUCGUCUUCCAACCUUGACUCUACUCUCUGGAUCCGGAUUUUUCACGUACAUUUUCAUUGGAGCAUUCGAUGGCAAGAUUAGUUUUAUAACUUUUAUUGUAAAAAAUAAAAUAGAUUUUUGGAAAGUUAGAAUCGUGGAGUAUUUUAUUUAUUUAUAAAAGGGAAAACAGAAUAUAAAAGAAAUAAUACUUGCAAUUUCUUAUUUUAAAAAGAAAUUCUAUUGACUCAGGUUAGGUUAUCCAUCCAAAGCGUACAAAGAUAAAUUGUAACACCUUUUUAAACUCAAAUAAAUAUGAUUUCUGACCUGUAAAAUGUAAACUUUAUUCCUUAUUUACAUGUUAAUAAGUUAAACUUUAUUCAUUAUUCCUUUUAAAUAAAAUAUUAUUAAUAAGUAUUAUUUUAAAUUAUUAUUAUCAUUUAUUUUUAACCAGAAAAAAAUUAUAAAGAUUCUAAUAUAGUUAAGUUUUUAACAUAUACUAAAAUAAUAUAUUUUUUCUUAAAAAAUAUAAUUUAUGAUUUUAUUAUAAUACUAUUAUUCAUGAUUUACUAAAAACUAUUUAUUUUUUAAUUUAUUUGUAAUUACAAACUAGUUUUAUUUUUAAAUUUUAAUUUGUAUUAUAUAAAUUGAAUUUGUAAUGUUUUUAUAAAACCAAAACAAAAAAAUUAUUUUUAAAAAUAACUUAUUCAAAUAAGCUUUUUAUUUUUUUAUUUUUAAAAACAAUUUAUCAAACACCCUUAUUUUUAUAAAACACUACAAAAUUUAUUUUUAUUUUUAACUUAAAAACAGUUUUUAAAAAUAAAUUUUGAAAAACAUGGCCAAACAUAUUUGAUAAAACUUUGAAAAUUAUUUUCUAAAAUAUAAAAAAUGGGAGAUAUGAUUAUUAAAAACAUUCUGGAAGUAUUUAUUUAUAUGCCAAGAUCGAGUAAUUCUCCUUCAAAUUAUUUGAAGUGAAAGCAUUAGUGAAAACUUUAAUGAUGAAGUGGUAGAAUUUUUGGAUGGAAAAAUGACGAAAUAGUUGGUAACAUCAUCCGUCGGAAAGAUGCCAAUCCAAACAGGUAUUUUAUCCAAUCUCAAAGAUUCCGAAAUUCCUCCUCCCCAACUCCCCUCUCUCUAACCAUUUUUGCUCUAGCCUUCUCCCUACGCCUCUUCUUUACCCCACGCCACAGUUGCUUUGCUGGCGGCCACACCGCGAUGAAAUUCGGCAAGGAGUUCCGGACCCACCUGGAGGAGACCCUGCCGGAGUGGAGGGACAAGUUUCUCUGCUACAAGCCCUUGAAAAAGCUUCUCAAAACCAUCCCCACCGCCGCCGAUUCGCUUCCUCCACCCCACGACUUUCGCCUCCUUGAAGGCUCCGCCGAUGUCGAUGACGUCCAUGGUCAUCAUGAGAACAGGCCCUUGAUGGACCUCCAAGAAUGGUUCGUUCGGAUUCUCAACGAAGAGCUCGAGAAGUUCAACGAUUUCUACGUUGACAAGGAGGAAGAGUUCGUUAUUCGUUUACAGGUUUUUUUCUUUCUUUCCUUUUUGUGGGUUUGACUCUAUUUUCUGAUCGUUUGAAGUUGAAGGGAAAAAGAAACUGCAUGCCCAUGUAGCCAAAUGUAGUUUAAUUAGGAAAAAGCUGAAAGAAAUUUGUUUCAUACGGAUUUUUCACGAGGUUUUCACAAUUGAAUGCACUCACAAAUCAACAUAAUUGAUUCAAUCCCAUUUAUUUAACUCUAAAUUUUGAGCUGCCGCCGGAUUUCGCCAUCGUUGUGGUGCUAAUCUCGUCUUGGGAAUUAGCAACCAAAAUUUGGUUAUUCAGAGGCUUUUUCUGUAGAACUUUGACUUACUUUGGAGUUAUAUUUUUACAUAAUUACUUGAGCUUGCUACCUGUAAAUCCUAGUUGGAAAAAAAUAUUUUUUUUGAAGCAGAUACAAGCUUAUGAUGGUGUGCUGCUCCUGCAACUCUCCAUAAUUUCCCUGAGUUCUUAUUUAAAUGUUUACUUCAAUCACUGCUACAAUUGAAAACUUCCCAACAUACAUACUUUUAGAGAAGUCUUAUUCUUGAUCAUUAUUUGGUAGGAGUUGCAUUGGACUGGUCCCUUAGAACCAAUGAUUUGUCCUGGAACCCUGAAUUUAAUCCUUGAGCCUAUUAGAUUUCCAAGUUUUCCUGGAAAUUUGAACCAAACCCUUCAGAGACUCCAGGGUGUAGAUCAUCUGGAACAAACCUACACCUGCCUCUCCAACACUGCAACAAAAAACAGGCCAACUCUUCCAUACUCUUAAGUUGAAUUUAUGUUUUGACUGUUACCUUCAAUGAUGUUCUCAAGGCAGGAUAUCCAAAGAAUAGAACUAUCACUAAUUUUUCUUUGUAAUCCACUUGAUGCUUUUGGUCUUAAAUUGAGUGCAAAUUUAUCUUAAAAAAGUAUUUUUCCCUGUACAAUGGUCCAACUUUCAGUUGAUAAUCUCCAUGAUUGUAGUCAUUGAGCAGUUUCUGGAGAAUGCUGUGAAAUUAUGUCUUUGUGGCUCUUUAUUGAUUCUUAACUGCAAUUGCUAAAGGAGCUGAAGGAAAGAAUUGAACAAGUGAAGGAGAAGAGCAUCAAGGGUGGAGUUUUGACGUCAGAGAGUGAGUUCAGUGAAGAAAUGAUGGACAUCCGGAAGGAUUUUGUCGCUAUUCAUGGGGAGAUGGUGCUUCUCAAAAAUUAUAGCUCCCUAAAUUUUGCAGGUAUAGCUUACUUCACUUCUUUCUUUUCUUCUAUGUCUAAUUUGGGUCAGUCAAGGGCUUUGUCACCAUUCAUGGGGAGAUGGUGCUUCUCAAAAAUUAUUGUUCCCCAAGUUCUACAGGUAAACUGCUGCUUCAUUAAUUCUUUUAGUACAUGAUAUCAGUUGAUGAACUCUAGAUAUCAGCAGUUCCUGAUCCAUUUCCACGUUCUUGCUUCAAUAGGUCUGGUUAAAAUUCUAAAAAAGUAUGACAAAAGAACAGGCGGAUUGUUGAGUCUGCCUUUCACACAACUGGCUCUUAAUCAGCCCUUUUUCACAACAGAACCUCUCACAAGGUUAGUGCGUGAAUGUGAGGCCAAUCUCGAGCUCCUCUUCCCAUUGGAAGCAGAAGUAAUUGAAUCUACACCCACUCUACGAAAUCAGACAAACCAAUUGCUUAAUGACUUACCAAAUCUCUCUUCUGACACACCCUCAUCCCUUGGGGAGGAAACGGGGGAUAUAUACCGCAGUACCCUUGCUGCAAUGAAAGCCAUAAGGGGCCUUCGAAAGGCUAGCUCCACCUGCAACCCAUUAUCAUUUGCAUCUUUCUUUGGUAACCAGGAUGAUGAAAGUGCUGGUGCAGUGACAGCUGAAAACUCUGCCUCCAACUCUUUAGCAACAUUACAGAGUGGGGAGGAGGCAGAUCAAGAGGAUGCAAAUUCAAGAAAACAGAAUUAGCCUUUUAGGGUGCUUUUGUUUCUUGCUUUGGAACGGUUUCUUGUAAUGAGUGGAAACUGACUGGCAGUGUGUACUUUCAUUUACUUGUAAUAAAGCUGCAACCCUUACAUUUAACGUUUUGCUCUACUAGUUAGUUUUGUUCUGUAUCUGGAUUAUUUUUGUAGACUAUAUAAUUAUCAAUUCAGCAGUUUGUACAUUCGAUUAGGCUCAAAACCAAUGGAUUACUUCCCUUUGUGUGAGUACAAUAGGCUGCCUUAAUAUUUACUGUUCCAUUCCAUUCUCACCAAACAAACAAGAAAAAAGAGAAUAAAGGAAAAAAUGAAUGAUAUUUUCCAUGAAACAUAAUCUCAUCCUGCUUUCUAGCAUCCUUUCUAUGCUUUUGGUUUCCUAUGCAUGCUUGCUGGCAUAGUUGUCGUCAUAGUUGAAAGGCAGAGGGACUGACUUGAAUGCCCUGUACUUCCCCACAUUGUUCAGGUGCUCAUUCUCCAACCUGAUCAACUCAACAUGAACCUCCCAUCUGUGAGAAAAGCAACAUUUUGAAGCAUAACAGGUUUCCAGGUCUAAGUUCACAUACCUGAAGAAGUUCCAGAUGCCACGACGAAUGAUCUCCAAGCAGGCAACCACUGCAACCAAUGCUGUUCUAUGCAUGAAAGGAAAAUCUCGAAUACCCAUCACCGUCUGCAUCCAAGCUAGUCUCAAAAUGACAUUCAACACCUGCAAUUUGUAUGAGACAAGAUGCCUCUGAGGCUUUUGAGCAACCCCCUGAUAAACAACAUUACCUAAAAGGUUCCUGGGUUCUCACCAUGGCUAUGAAGUAUACACUUUUGGAGGGUACAAGGAGCUUGUCCCUCAGCCAAGGGUUUUUUGAGUUCCAACGUAGAAGACCCCAGUCUAUGACGAUGUCCCAGUAUGUAUUGGCAAUGGUUGCAAUGCCUGAACUGGCUGCAGCCAUGAUUUUCCAAAUCAUUCCCCCCUGUAGCUCAUUAGCCGUCCUCAAGACAACUGCAGCAAUCGUUGAGAAGUACUUCAGCCCGUUAAGCACAUGACUUGGAUCUUUCUCAUCAACCCAGCGCCGAAAACACUACAUUCCAGUACAUAGAAAACCCCCAUUAAUAACCUCAUUGUCAUGUGUGAUAUGAUAGAAGAAGAAUCAGACAGGAGAAACAUCAGAACUACUGCUGUUUGAUUUGGCAUGCCAAUACCUGAAGGAGGCGAAACGCAUAUGGAAUCACUGCUACAACAAGAUAAAAAUCUUUGAAAACUUUACUUUCAGGGCACUUGUGUGAUCUUGUUUUGAAGUUCCCCCAGACAUAGUAGCAGACAUAGAAUUCUAGACUCCUAAAAGCCUGAACCUGAAAUGGAGCAGUGAACUUUGGCUAAGUAUUGUGAUCAAACUGAACAAGUUCAUAUAAUAAUAGACUCAAUGUCAAACCUGGCUUGUAAGCUGAUCUGCCAAGAAGAAAUCAGGGAGGGUGACCUACAGACACAAUGAAAUGAAGAUUAGAUUCCACUAAUUUAUCCUCCUUUUGCAGGUUCCUGGCGUGGUUACCUUGUAAAGGGGAGCACAUAUACAGUGAAAUGCGCACUGGAUAAAGAAGAAGCGACUUGAUCUGUAUAUGAUGUUGAAAGGACAGAAGAUUAUAAGAAGCAAAACCUGCAAACCAGAUGUUGAGAGUUCAUACUCAUUUGGAAAAUGUUGGCUUGUUUUGUUAGAUAAAAAAAGAUUGAAAUACAGAAGAUCUUACAAUGACUAUGCCUAAAGGGACUAAUUCUGUUAAUGCUUUGAAGCUUUUAGUUCUUUCGUCCAUCUCCAUAUCCAAGUUUGACAGGACACCGCCCAAUGUGAGUACUGAAAGAGCAGAACUAAGAAGAAGAACUUCUCUGUAACCCAAAGCUGUUCCUUGCUUGAAACCAAAUAUAAAUGUGUAAUUGACCCGAUACCGCCUCCAGAAGUAUAUGUUUGCAGAGUACAUGAGCAUAUGUAGCACAAUGAAUCCAAACAAGCUGCAAAAAUGUGGAAACAACCAUCUCAGCCCUGAUCAAUUUUAGGAUCCAUGGAACACCAAAAACUUACCUGUAGAGUGGAAAUAUGUUGUCCAUAUACAGAGCACGGCCUGGGUUCUUCAUGAUAUCUCUGGCAUGUAUGAUUACAACAAUGGCAACCACAAGUGCUAUGGAGCAACCAGAGAAGAAACCUGCAUAACAAACGGUUAAGAGAAUUUGUUUUGAUUUAUUAUUGAUUGAGAAAAAAAAAAAGGAAGAAUGCUUUGAGCCCAAGUCUUACCCAAGAAAUAUGUUACUCUAUGCCUUUCCCUCUUAGCUUUAGGCCUCAAAAUAUCCAUUCCUUUUCUGUGGUUUCCAUUUGCAAAGUGCUUGAUGAAGGUAGCCUCCACCCUCUCCACAAGCUUAGUAACCUGCAAAGAGGAAGAUGAACCCAAAAGUAGAGUUAGUGUGAGAAGAGAAUUGAUCCUACUAACAUAAGUAAAUUCUCAAGAAAUAUGUCUAGCCUCAUCUGAGCUUCCUAUAGGCGAAUUGUCCACCAUCUCCAGGUAGGCCUUCGAUGCAUUCCUUGAAGUGAUCUGCACUGAAUCAAAUUAGUGACAUUGAACUAUAAAUUUUGCAGUUCAGUGAGUAAUGAGAAACAGAAUUGUUGGGGACCUUGUCAUACUUCUUCAUGAUCUUAGAGAAUGCUAACUGGUUCAAGAAGCUGGUACAUUUAUCAGUGAUAUGAUCAGCUACAUGCUUUUAAGAAUGAAAACUUUAGAUUAUGUAGAAAGAAGAAGAGAAAGCCCUGUUACCAGUAACUUUUUAGAACCCGAAGUUUUUUAUGGAAUUCAACAAACGCCUUGGUUAUUAGCUCUUCUGCUUUCCUCAGCUCUUCCUUGCUGAACGACAAAUCAGACGUUGAAGUUGUGAGAAUGCCCUUCAAAGUUGAUAUUGGAGUUUCUCGUUCAAUGUUGAUCUUGACAUGAUUCAAGAUAUCUAGUGAAGCUGGUUUAAAGCCCUCAAUAUCUGGCUUGCCCUCUCUGCCUUUGCUGCUUUUCGCCAUGUUCCUCCUCCCUCUUUCAUCUUCUGAAUUUGCCCCAUUUGCCCCACUGCUCAUCUCAACUUCUUGGAUUGCAUCCAUAUGCACCCUUCCUUCACAUACAAAACCAAAAUUCUUCUAUAAAACAGAAAAAAUUAAAAAAAUAUCAGAUUUUCCCUAUUCCAUUUCACUGUCCCAACAUUCUUCUGCAGAUAGGGAAUUAGGAUUUCUAUAGAUUUCUGACUGAAAUGAAAAUCUGAGCAAACAAUUCCUCCUUACCAGGCUUUCUUCCAUUGUCCUGAUGAUUAAGCCUCUCUGCUGGGCCAGAACCAUCACCACCUCCUCCUCCUCCUCCAAACCCCACCGGUGGAUUCUCCACCUUGAUCCGAAGAGCAAUGAGAGCAUCCAUUUGCUUGUUCAGCUCCUCUGCCUCCCUCAUCACUUCCUCCACCUUCCCCUUAUAGAACUUCACCACUUUGUUGAACUCUUCAUCAAGCCUCCUGAAAUACACAAGCUCAUACUCUCCUCCUGCUUCAGAUGACAUCAAAAACAUGGUCUGGUAGUGCCCUUCUGACCCCUCUUCCUCCACUGCGCUCACCAGUAUUGCUUCAUCCUCAUUGUUCUUCCUAGGAGACCCUCUGUAUCUGCCUGUAAGCCCACUAAACGCCCUGUACAAUGACACCCUUCUCUUCAAUGAGGAUCUAGGUGUGGCAGACAUGGCCGCUGUCAACAUAUUCUGCUGCCUGAACCUCAACACAUCUUUCAACAAGCCCUUCAGAAAAUUGUAAUUCAUGUAUGCUUCUUGCCAUUCGGGCACCAUCUGUGAUACGAACUCCUUCCCGAACUUCAUUUUUUUUUUUGUCCUUUUGAUUCAAGGACUCAGCAGAAACACAGAGAUGGAAUCAGACCCCCAUUCCAUUUGAAGAGCUCAGAGAGGAAAACUCAACAGUAUGAACAAGUUUCUUGAUUAUUCCUCAUCUUAGACCGUCUCUCUCUGCAAGAACAGUUCAACAAACAAUGAAACAAAGUAAUAAUAUAUACCACUAGGGAUCCACCACUCUUUAAUUCAAAAUCAAUUAGAUGGGUAAAGUAGAUAAAAUAUUAUUGACUGCUGCAUAGCAUUGUUGGCCAUGUAUUUAUUCAUCACCCUUCCCACCAAUCAUGGGAAAAAAUUUAUUGCAACAUUUUUCAUGUAGAAAUUGGAAAAGGACAGCAAACUGUUAGAAGUUGACUUAUGUGUGAAAGCUUAAGUGAGAAUUUAUGUCCAGUAAUCAUUAGCUCAUAUUACUACCAUUUCCACCCUAUAAAUCUUUACGGGGCGUGUUUGGUAGCCGGAAUAGAAAUUAAUUUCAUUUUCUUGCAUUAGGUGAAGUGUCUUAACUUUUGUCCUCUGGAUACAGCCUCAUACAAGCUGUCUUAACCCCUCCCUUACAUAAAACCAAAUAAUUUUCCAAAAACAGAAAAACUAAGAAAAUGUUGCAACUUGUGAUUCUGAGACCAACAUUUCCUACACUACUUUAAUAUUCAACUUAUUUUGGGUAGUAAAAACAAAAUAUUUACAAAUUUAUAAAUUGAUUUUACAAACUUAAAUUUACAUAACUUUUUAGUAAGAACUAUAUUUUGAUUUUGUUUAUAUUAAAAGUAAUGAUAAUUUUGAUAUUUUUUUAAAAAUUUAUUUCCUCACUCGCUUAAAUUGGGUAAAUUGGAACUAUUAAAUUUAAUAUUUUUAUUAAAAUAUCAUAAUAUUUUUAUUAAUAUUUGGAUACCAUGAAUAAAAGUUUUGAAUAAUUUAUAAAUUAAAAGUAGGUGUGCACCUGUUUUUAAAUUUAUAUUUAACAUAAUUUUGAUUUAAUUUGUUUAUUAAAAGAUAAAAUGUGGUAAAAAUUUCUUAAAACUGAAUGAAAAUAGACUAAAGUAAGGAAAAAUAUUUAGAUUUUUAAAGAAUUUUGAUUGAAUAAGGAUGAAUUAAUUAUAACCGAUUUAUUUGAUUUAAACUAUUAAUUGUGCGGUUUAUUAUAAUAAUUAAUUGUAAAUAAAGGGGGCAGAUAAAAAUAUUUAAGUCUAAUUUAUUUAUGGAUUAAAUUCAAAUAUAUGUAACAAUAAAUAGAAUAAGCGAAUUUCCAAAAAUAUCCACAUUAAGUCUGAACUGAUGAAGUGUCACGAAUUUAUUGUAUGGAAAACGUCACUGCUGAAACUACUCUUCCUCCCCUAAGACAAACCAAACGGCCAGAUCUCCGAUUCAGCUAGUGAGUCACAGAGGCUCCGAGUUCGAACCGAGUCAGCGAAUUCUAGGGUUUCAGAAGCGAUGAGCAGAUUCAAAACCCUAAUUGUGAUUGUAGGGCUGAUGUGUACGGCCGCUGAUUCGAUGCGGUUCGACCUCACUUCAGGUGGCACAAAGUGCAUAUCGGAAGAUAUCAAGACCAACGCCAUGAGUGUCGGCAAGUACAGCGUCAUCAAUCCGAACGAGGGCUUCCCUUUGCCGGACACGCACAAGAUUACAGCUCAGGUGAGCUUGAAUUCGAUAUUGAAACCCUAACCCCUUGUUUGGUUGCGGAGAAAGCAAAUUUUGAAAGUUAUGAAAUUUUGUGUUUUAUCUUGUCUUUGUAUUUCUAAAAAGGAAAAAUAUUACUUUAGGUUGUGUGAAAAUUCGGGAAAAGAAAAGGAAAUGCAAUUUUGAGUUUGUUGGGUUGCGGAAAACGGAAGCCUUACCUCAACUGAGUCAAACGGUUGUAUUUGGGAUCCGAUCUUUUCCUGGAUUUUCUGGGGAACCAAAUGGAGGGUUGAAUUCCACCCUUUUUAUUCUAUGGUAUGCCUUUUUUGAGUGGAGAUUGAUUUGGUGAAAAUGGAGUUGUUGCAGGUUUCUUCUCCGUACGGGAACAAUUAUCAUACUGGGGAUCAUAUAGAAUCUGGUAAUUUUGCGUUUACUGCAGCUGAAGAAGGUGACUACACCGCUUGCUUCUGGGCGCCUCAGCACAAGCCUCCAUUAACAGUAACUAUUGAUUUUGAUUGGAGAACUGGUGUUGCUGCUAAGGACUGGUCCAAGGUUGCUAAGAAAGGGCAGGUUGAGGUGAGUGAUGUGCUAUUACCUGUUUUUUUAAAUGGUUUUGGGUCCUUUCUUUGUAUUAUCUCGAGACCAUUUGUUAAUUAUUCUAGUUACCAUGUUUGGUUUCUUAAUUCUUCAUAUACUGCUUAUUUAUAUGAUAAUGGGCUUGAGUUGUAUGGCAUACAAAAUUCACCUUCUUGAUGAACAUUUGCUGGGUUGAGAAUGCUGAAGGUUCAUGAGAAACAAAGAUAUGGUGAUUCUUGUUUUAUGGUGAACAUACAUAAGAAGCGAAGAUAUGGUCGCUCGUGGUUUAAGUAGAGAUAACAUUUUAGGUUGACUGUGAUGCAUGUAUGCUAGGAAGUACUUGUGUAGUCGGGUGUGACCCUUUUUUCUAGGCCCCUUUUUCUAAUUGCCUAUCAAAAAAUAUAUGCUGGAAGUGACAUUUAUCUGGGACAUCUAUGUAUUAUAGGAAGUAACUUUUUUAUCACCUCAUUUAAAAUAAUUACACUUAUUUCCAAACAGAAUAUAUGUCCCUAGAUUGGGUGGAUUAGCCUAAAUGGUACAGUAGACACCAAUAGUUGUAAUUAGGCUUUUUUUUAGUGUGUGCUAUGGAGUUAGCUCAGUGACUCUUAUUUUUAUCUCAGAUUGGGAAUCCUAGGAUUUCAGCUGAAAGUCGUAUAUUUCAACUUAGAAAUAUUGAGUCCUAAGAUUUGGGUUUUUGGGCUAAUGGUUAAUAUCAGUUGUAGAAUUCAAAAUUAACUAUGUACUUGUUGCAAUUUUCGGACGAGGGCGGCUUGGUAGGCAGGAGACAUUGAUUUUUCAGGAAUUUGAGCAGUUCCUCUGAUUGUUUACUGCUAACUGGCAUUUUCUUUUAUUUCAUUUCUUGUCUUCCUUGCGUGUUUUGUUUUUCUGUGGUGCCAACCCAUAAUAUUUCUUCUACAUGGGUUGUGGCCAUUAUUUAUUCUCUUUAAUUAUAAAAAAAGAAGGGGGUAAAAAACUACCUCAUUGGUAGCAACUGCCUUAAUGUAUAACUAGCUAUCAUCGUUGUUAGUUGUGUGAUUCAAUGCACGACUUGUUUGGGCUUCCCCUCAGAACUUUUCAACUUUACGGAACUUCAACAUGGGAUGGAGGGAUAUUGUGAAGUGUGUAUGACUGGGCAUGAUUUUCAUGAGUAUAGCUGAUGUGAACAUAAAUUAUGGGGAAGAACUAGAGAAUAGAUACAUGAAGUAGGUCAGGAGGUUGCCAUUGUACUUGACCAACUCUUGUGCCCUUCUCAUACCUCUCAAAAAAUGGGUUUUAACAAUUUCUUCACUUUGAUCCAGUUGGCAAGGUAGGUUAUAACUAAAGGACCCACAUAGCAUUUUAAGUUUGAUGUGUAUUCACAUUGCACCUUUUGCAUGGGCAAAAUCUUACUUCUUCAUUUUUCCAUAGAUCAAUCUAGACAUGGCUCUUAUUUUGCCAAAUUAUCUUCAACCUAGAUAUGGCCUCAAAAGUUUCAUCAUCUUCAAAACUUGGUUUCAAGUUUAGCUCCAGCUGGCUAGCUGAGGUAUGACAAAAGUAGAGCACCCAUGUAGUAUUUCAAGUUAGAUGCCACUGAUUUUUGUCUUUUGCUGUAGUUUAGAUAUAAAAAAUAACUAGUUUAUUUAUGUGUUAUCUUUCAAGAUUGUUCUUCCUGAGUGUAUGUUUUCAUUCAGUCAGUCUGGAGGUUGGGCCAUUUGGACAUUUUGGGGAUUGAUACCAAGCAUUGUGUAUCUUUUGUUGGAGAUUGACACUGAGCAUUGUCCAACUUCAGAUCAACAAAAUGAUUUUAACAUAUAAAGCUCAGUUCUGAGAGUUCAGUAUUGUUCUAAUUUGAUUUAGUGUAAAAUUUCCUGGGCAAAAACUGCUACUUGUCAAUCUUUUAUUUAGUUGGAGAUCUUUCAAUAUGGACAACUUGCUUUCAAUUAUCAUUUUGGUAUGCUAUGCUCUUUAGGAGGCUUAUUAUCUUCCAUUUCUUCCUCAGCUUAAAUCAACAUUUUAGGAAUUUAUGGGUGUCCAGAUGCCAGGUGAAACCAGUAAGGGAAAGAUGAAACAUGGAAUAAAUAUCUGCCUCUUCUCAUGACUUCCUGUUCUGGAUGAUUUUUUAAAGAUGGUGAAGAUUAAGUAGAAGCCUUGUGGAGUCCUUAGAACCUUGUGGAAUUGUUAAUCAGUGGUACUUAAAGGCAGUAAACUUGGGGCCUUUCACCACAUACAAAGAAUGAUAAUUUGCACAUACAAAGAAUGAUAAUUUGGUUUGGCUUGGCUAUCUCCUGGACUGUCUUGAAGCAGCUGUGGAGGUCAAAGCAGUUUGGAUGCAUAUGGUGAAACAAUAGGAAUCCAAAGAAUCAAGCCAUAGGUAUAAAAACUAGUUUGGAUGCAUAUAUUGAUUCAUAAGAAUGUAAAGAUAUUCAAAGCACAGAUCUGCUGAGCCUCACCUCACCUUUUACCUCCUGCUAACUUUUCCAAGAUGUAGGGAGCUUAUUUCCUAGUUUAAUGUUACUAUCUCUUAUUUUUCUCAUUUGGAAAGUUUCACUACUUCUCAAAAAUUUACGGAAAGACAUUGUAAUAUCUGCUGAAUCCUAGUAUUGUGUGUUGAUGGUGUUGUAUCCCACUUGUGCUAGGUGAUGGAACUGGAGUUGAAGAAGCUGUACGACACAGUCACAUCCAUUCAUGAAGAAAUGUUUUAUCUUCGUGAGAGGUAUGGACAAACUAACUUCUGGUAAUUUUAAAUUUUUUAUUCUUUCUUUUCUGGGAUGGAUCAUAUGAGAAGCCCCUUAUAUUUUAUUCAUUAUAGCAAAUGAUUGUUCUCUUUUUCUGUCCGGGUGUUCCAGGGAGGAAGAAAUGCAAGAACUUAAUCGAGCAACCAACUCUAAGAUGGCCACAUUUAGUUUCCUCUCACUCUUAGUUUGCUUGUCAGUGGCCGGAUUGCAAUUAUGGCACCUGAAGACAUUCUUUGAAAGGAAGAAGCUCCUUUAGUUUCUACCCUUCAAUAGAUCAUGCAGUUCCCUUCUCCGCUCUUUUAGCUAUUUUCCCAUAGCACUGAUUCAUGUAUCACUUGUGAUGCGUUUGGUACUAAACAGAAGCAGACCCUAGAAAUGAUGCCAUAUUUGGAUCACAAUGUAACUGAUAUUUUAUUGAAAUCUGACAUCUUAAUAUUAUGACAAUUUUGUUGGUUGGUGUGAGGACUACAUCCUGAUUUUCAAUGAUUGAUAGAUGAAGAGGAAAGAAUCCCAUCUUAUGGUUGAAUUUACUAGGAUUUGGUUUUCUUGUUUUCAUGAACUGGUGUUGAUGAUGAUAAAUAUAAGACCCUGAACUUAUCUUACAAUGCAACCAUGCCCACGCUUUCCGUGCCAACCCCCACCACCAAGCCCUUGUGCUUGCCAAGAUUUUCGGUUGCUUGCUUUAUGUGGACUCUCGUCUCUCAAAUCCACCAACCAAACACUUUCUUCUACAACACCCUCAUCAGGGGCUACUCCAAAAGCUCCUCUUCACAGUCUGUUCUUUGUUCAAUUAGAUGAGGUGAAAUUGCGUCAGCCCAGAUGGGUUCACCUUCACAUUCUUGCUAAAAGCGUGGUCAAGAAUGAGAGUUGAUUUACCGUUAAUUGUGGUGUUGUAUGAGAUUCAUGGGGCGGCGUUGAAGUUGGGGUUCUACUUUCAUUUGUUUGUUACGAAUGCAUUGAUUCAUCUAUACUAGGCGAAGGGGUUCCCGCCACGGCUCGUGUUUGAUGAGACGAUGGGGUUCAAUGUUGUUUGGGUCUGGUUGUUGUGCAUGUGAGAAAGGGAGAAUUGGAACUUCCUCGUCAGGUGAUGAUGAAAUACUUGGGAGAUGUUUCAUGGACUGUGAUGGUGUCUAUGUAUGCACAAGCCAAACGUUCGAGGGAGCCACUGGAGUUGUUUAGGGAGAUAAGAGAUGUAAGAGUGAGACCUACUGAUGUGGUCACCAUGGUCAGUGUAAUGCUACUAAUGUCCUUGUUGCUUCUGCUGUCUGAAAAUUUUCGAUUUGCGCCUGGAGUUACAACCAAGCCUUUGCAAGCUCCCGGCUAACCUUACUUCUGGUAAUUCGUAUUAGGAGGUAUCCUUGUCUCUUCGAUGACUUGAUUAGCUAUGACAUACUUCACUUUUUUGUCAUAUGUGACCCAUAAGAGCAUAAUAAAGAGAACUCAAUCGAAGACACAACUGUAAUCUUAAUUUUAAUUAUAUUUGAUUUUUUUUAUUUUAUUUUUUACAUUUUUCAUAAUAAAACCAAAUAUAAGAAAAUUAUUUUCCUUAAUUUUAUUUUUUCUUUCUUUAGUAUUUUUGGAAAAAAAAAAUAUAGUCAUAGUGUUUUCUUACUAAUGUUUCUAUUAAAAACAAUUUUAUAAACAAUCUUCUAAUUUCUAUAUAUAAGAUUAAAAAUGUUCUUAACUCUUUUAAUAUUAGAUUUAAUGGAACAAUAAACAAACAACUUAGAAACGAGAAGUCUACAUAUGAGAAAGUGUUGCCUAUUUUAGUACAAAUGCUUAAGUUAUAAUGAAGUUUUUGAUGCAAAUGAUGAUCAUAUAAUAGACCAUAUUUAACAUCAUCAAAAGGGUUAUGGACUUUAUUACUAAAUAUAAUGAAUGAACAUAGAAAAUAUAUUUGAUUUCUGCAAAUAAUGUAUUCCAUAUCAAAAUGUAAAUGAGAAACUUCACUCUAUAUUUUAUAUUGACUACCAUUAAAAAUUUUAUUUAUAAAUAAAUAGAUAGAUAGAUAGAAAAGUAGAUAAGGUGAUAGGAAGCAAGAUGAGGAACCUCCAGUAUAGGUCUUCUCUCUCUAUAUAUACAUAUAUAAAUCAGUAUCCUAUCAUUUCCAAGAGAAGAGAGAAGAACCAUAUUGUAUUGCCCUUUCAUGAAACAAACCCAUUACUGUACAAUAUUAGAUGCCACUGAAUUUUGUCUUUUGCUGUAGUUUAGAUACAAAAAAUAACUAGUUUAUGUGUGUGUUUUCAAGAUUGUUCUUCCUGAGUGUAUGUUGAGUUUGGGCCAUCCCUAUACCCAUUAGGACAUUUUGGAGAUUGAUACCAAGCAUUGUGCUCAAUUCUGAGAGUUCAGUACUGUUGUAAUGUGCUUUAGUGUAUAAUUUCCUGGGCAAAAACUGCUACUCAUCAAUCUUUUAUUUAGUUGGAGAUCCUUCACUAUGGACAACUUGUUUUCAUUAGGAUUGUUAUCUUCCCUUUCCUCAGUUCAAAUCAAAAUUUUAGGAAUUUAUGGGUGUCCAGAUGCCAGGUGAAACCAGUAAGGGAAAGAUGAAACAUGGAUUAAAUACCUGCCUCUUCUCAUGACUUCCUGUUCUGGAUGACUUUUUAAAGGUGGUGAAGAUUAAGUAGAAGCCUUUUGGAGUCCUUAGAACCUUGUGGAAUUGUUAAUCUGUAGUACUUUAAGGCAGUCAACUUAGGGCCUUUCACCACGGACAAUGAAUGAUAAUUUAUUUGGUCUUUCAAUGAUUGAUAGAAUAAGGGGAAAGAAUCCAUAUUGGUUGAAUUCACUGGGAUUUGGUUUUCUUGUUUUUAUGAACAGGGUGUUGAUUAUGAUAAAUAUAAGACCCUGAAAAGUUACAUUUCUAACAAAGUAAUGCAUAUGCUGCCAACAAGCCAGAGUUUGGCCUCCAUGGCCGAGGCUUGUCUCACAAUGCAAGCCCUCAAGCUCAUCCACGCCCUCGCAUUCCGUGCCAACCUCCACCACCACGCCCUUGUGCUCGCCAAGAUUUUCCGGUUUGCUGCUGUCUCGCCCAACGGUUGUUUGCACUAUGCGGACCGUCUCUUCUCUCAAAUCCACCAACCAAACACUUUCUUCUACAACACCCUCAUCAGGGGCUACUCCAAAAGCUCCUCCCCUUCACAGUCUGUGCAAUUGUUCAAUCAGAUGAGGCGAAAUUGCGUCGACCCAGAUGGGUUCACCUUCACAUUCUUGCUAAAAGGACGGUCAAGAAUGAGAAUCGAUUUGCCGUUAAUUGUGGCUUCCGACGAAAUUCAUGGGGCGGUGUUGAAGUUGGGGUUUUGUUUUCAUUUGUUUGUUAUGAAUGCAUUGAUUCAUCUAUACGCGGCGAGGGGUGUUCCCGCUGCGGCCCAUCAAGUGUUCAAUGAGAUGGUGGGGGCCGAUGUUGUUUCAUGGUCGGGUCUGGUUGUUGCGCAUGUGAGAGCCGGGGAAUUGGAACUUGCUCGUCAGGUGUUUUAUGAAAUGCCCGAAAGAGAUGUUGUUUCGUGGACUGUGAUGGUGUCCGGGUAUGCACAAGCCAAACGUUCAAGGGAGGCACUGGAGUUGUUUAGGGAGAUGAGAGAUGUAGGAGUGAGACCUGAUGAGGUCGCUAUGGUCAGUGUAAUCUCGGCGUGCACCAGCUUGGGAGACCUGGAAACAGGUUUUGAGGUGCAUCGUUACAUUGAUGAGAAUGGGUUCGGGUGGAUGGUUUCGCUUUGCAAUGCAUUGAUUGAUAUGUAUGCGAAGUGUGGGUGCAUGGACCUGGCAUGGCAAGUGUUCAACAACAUGGAAAGAAAGAGCUUAAUUACUUGGAACUCAAUGAUAUCAGCCUGCGCAAACCAUGGGAACGCAGAAGAUGCAUUCAGGGUGUUCACUCUUAUGUUGUAUUCUGGGAUUAGGCCUGAUGGAGUAACGUUUCUGGCCCUCUUAACUGCAUAUACACACAAGGGGUGGGUCGAUGAUGGGUAUGGAUUGUUUGAGAGUAUGCAGAGGGACUAUGGAGUAGAGGCAGGCGUUGAGCAUUAUGGGUGCAUGGUAGAUAUGUUAGGCCGGGCAGGACGGUUGGAGGAGGCGUAUAAACUAAUCACUAGCAUGUCAAUGCCAUGCAAUGAUGUGGUAUGGGGAGCACUGCUUGCAGCUUGCAGGAUUUAUGGGGAUGUAGAGAUGGGUGAAAGGGUUUUGAAGAAGUUGAUAGAGUUGAAACCAGAUGAAGGAGGGUACUACAUUCUCCUCCGUGAUAUUUAUGUUGCUGCAGGACGAAGGGCAGAAGCAAUUGAACUGAGAAGAGCUAUGGAUGUCAAUGGAGCAAAAAAAACACUAGGCUGCAGUUGGGUAGGAGCAUGAUUUUCACAACUGGCGAAUACCUGCAUUUUUUAACGCUACUAGGGAUCAAGUAUCAUGCCUUAGUGCUGCCUUUCACGACCAAAUGGUUGGAAGUGAAAGGUAAUCUCACCAUCCUCCUAAUUCUAAAGCUCUGUUGCAUAGCAACGAAACCAAGGAGCUAAGCCGGAUUUAUCACCAAAUAAUACAGUGGUUUCUCCCAGAAGAAUUCAAUACCUUCCUAUGCAAUUGUUAUUAUUUUGAUAAACCUCUAUGUGCCCUGUGAAGCCCCAAACAAGUUGACCAUUUUUAAGUUGACUGAGUAGGACAGUGGAUUGACUGUUCGUUUCUAUAAUCAAGUGAACAGAGGUGAGGCUGAAUCUGAAUCUGCAUGCUUCUACCUAAACAGACUCUCUUUUGCAAGGCUGCCAUCAUGGGAAGGAUUAGCUUCUGCAUCAACAAAAGGAUUUGCAGCUGAAAUAAUGGAUUUGCUGGUAUUCCACAAACCACAGCAAGCGUGGGGAUUCUACUUCCAAGGUCCGCAACUCUUUUCUUCUUGAUGUUCCUCUCAUGGGCCCAUAGACAUCAAUCAAUUUACACACUGGGCGUGCUCGGACUGAAUUGAGACUUUUGGGUGCUCAUAGUCUAAUAAUUUAAAAUAAUAAUUGCAAUGUUCCUUUUGCAGGGAUGGAGAAAUAGUCUCGAUUAAAAGUAGUCUAAUUUUCUUUUGAACUGGGGAACAACCUGAUAGAAGAUAACCACCUGAAAUCUUAUUCAGAAGCCAUCGGGUUUUUCUGCUUAAAUUGCAUUAAAUAAAAAUCCCAUGGUUUUCACGAACCAUCAACCCUCCAAAAGCUACCCAAUUACCAACAGUAUGAUCCCAAACAAAUAGAACCCUCUUGGGAAAAAAAUAUAUUCAACAUGUUUGUGAAGAACAUUUCUAAAGCCCAUAAUACUGCUAGUCCGUCCAACAUAAAAUUAUAAUGAAAAGGGUUCAUGCAGAUUGAUAACACAGGCCUUACCAACCUGACACAUGCAAAAUUUUUAUAAACUAGAACCAGCAUCCCAUAUGUGCAGGAUUUUAUUAAUAAAAAGCACCAACACUUGCACGCAUACUGAAGUUCAUAUAGCCAAUAAUAUCAACACAAAGCAACAGAACACCAGGCAAACAAACACAUGCCCCAACCCUUUAUUUAGUAGCAAGCUAUGGCUGAGACCUCAUUCAUAAGGAGAACCACCACAUUAUGCUCACUCAUCAUCAUAGCUCUGGCGGUGGUGGUGAUGGUGGUGAUGCUUCCUAGACUUCUUCUCCUCAUCAUCAUCGGAGUUGUCAUCUCCCUGACAAUUCAAAAAUGUAAUCAGAAUAAUUAAAGGACAAAUUUAUGAUCAUAUAACAUAAACAACCAUCUCACAUUCUUUUCCAACAUGAUUUUACAACAUGCAUGGGAUGUAUGAAAUGAAAAAUAGUUCUCCAAUAAUAGGUCCAUGCCAGAAAAUUGUGCUAAUCAAAAGCACAGCUGUAUUAAUGGGUUUUGCACUUCCAUGAUAAGAGAAGUACACAUGAGGAUAGGUUUUAUAAGAAAAUAGAAAAAGUUGUAUAACUCAACCAAGGUGCAAUGUUAAAAUGUGCAGGCGCCAUGGAGGCCUUCAUGUUUAUAUGGGCCUAACUUCUGUGUCUUAGACUGCAAGUACUCCUUGAAACAAUUAGCAACCCUUGGAACAGUAAACAUUCCUUGAGAGGCAGGAUGGCAAUUCUGUGGCUUUCCUUAUAGCAGGGCAAAGAAACACCAGCACAAACAUAAUCCGGGAUGAUUAUUUUAUAUAUCUUUAUAAAUGACAUUACAAACUAAGGGCUCUUAAGAAUUUGGGUCCAAGAUGGGUAUGAAUGUAUCCAUGCCCAAAUCCUAUUUUUUCUCAGCAGUUCUCAAAGCCUGCAGGAUCCAUUUACAAGUAUGAAACCAUUUCCUCAUGCCACAUCCUUUCACACACCCAUUCAUUGAAUAGGUUUUAGGACUGGCAAACCAGAUGACAACUUACAAUUGCAAUACCUCAUAGUCUGAUUGUGCAAAACAAUUAAAUAAUGACCCAAAAAGAAGGAAUGAGAGAGGGAAACCUCUUAUGCCAUUACAAGUUUUAAGUAGGGAAAGACUAGAUGUUCAGUAAAAUGAGGAAGCAGGAAACAACAAUGGUAAGAGAGGAGAUGAAGGUUUUCCUUUCCUUUUUUAAGUGGAUGGCAUCAAAAAGCCAAGAAAAGGUAUUCCACUCUGAUUUCAGCAUAAAUUUAUCACGUUUCUUAUAUUAAAAUAAGAGUUAUGUAAACAAGGGUAAUAAAAAAACAUAAAAAGGUUAAACAUGAACUCAUUUCAACAGAACAGUUAUGCCACAUUCUCCAUGAAUUUCUAAUCUAUCAGACAAAUAUGAGGAGAUGCAAAAAACAAAAAAAAAAAACAAAAAAAAUGCACUGGAACCAUGUCACAGAACCCAACUGCAUAACACCUUAUCCAAAUUAUAGACCAGCUUGGCUACCCUCACAGCCUCAACCUGCAUUUUUCAGACUUAACAACUUCACAUUAUACUUGAGCCUUCAACUUAAUCCAUUGCCAGACCAUCUCCAAGCACUCUCUCUCAUUUUAUGAUCAAUCAGCCACCUCCUAGCUUCUCACAAAUGUACCCAUUCCCAAUUGACUUCUUUUUAAUUUUCAAAACCAAAAUUCAAAAUAAACCUAUUGCAAAUGUAUUAUAUUAAUGAGACAGUAGAGCUAGUUUCCAUUUAGAAUUAAGUUCUAUACAAAGAAUUACAAUGCAUGAAAAAAAAAAAGACAAAGGAAAAAAUUAAUAAUAAGGGAAAAAAAAACCCUGGCAUUUAUGAAAAGAAAUUACAGUUCAUAAAAAGAUUAAAAUGAGAUAGAAAUUGAAGGCAUCCUUUGGUUAACAUUUCCAUGAAUACUCUUAUAUUUUUCAAACGCUAUAAUCCAAGUACUAACCAGAUAGUGCCUGAAUUGUAGAAUAGGAAUUCAAACGAGCACCCAUCUAGAUCACAAUUAGGUAGAUGAAAAACCAGAAUAAUGGGCCACAAAAGAGUAAACAAAUGAAACCUUUAGAUAUGUUUUUUGAAUGGAAAACCAAAUAAUAAAUCACAGCAAAAUCAAUACAGAUCUCCUCACAUUCAGAAACCAAAAUUAUCAAUAAUCUACUAGUCUCGGAUCCAAUUAGCCAAUAAGAAACAAUGCAGCAAAGAAAACCUUGUCAGAUCACACUCACAACUAGUCCACAGAAAACUAGGAACUAAAGUGAGGAAAGCAUUAAUGUACUCACGUAUUUUUUGCGGCCAUAGCCCUCUUCACCAUAACCGUACUUGCGAGGCUCAUCAUCAUCAUCGCGCCUCUCAUAAGCCGGCUUCUCGUAGCCCUCCUCUUCUUGCCCCUCAUUACUUGGCCUCCCAUAACUAGGCCUCCUCGGUGGCUCCUCCACCUCCGGACUCUCGUAGCUCGGCCUCCCAUACUGUGGCUUCCUGGGGGACCCUUCCCCACCAUAACCAUACCCGCCACCUUGUUCCUCUCCGAAGCUAGGUUUCCGACCGUACCCAGAUCCAUAUUCAGAACUCGGUGCUUCGUACUCAGGCCUCCGACCAUACCCAGAUCCAUACUCCGAACUGGGCUGCUCGAACUCGGGCCUCCGACCAUACCCAGAUCCAUACUCCGAACUAGGUUGCUCGUAUUCAGGCUUCCGACCGUACCCAGAUCCAUAUUCCGUGCUAGGCUGUUCGUAUUCAGGCUUCCGACCGUACCCAGAUCCAUAUUCCGAGCUAGGCUGUUCGUAUUCAGGCUUCCGACCGUACCCAGAUCCAUAUUCCGAGCUAGGCUGUUCGUAUUCAGGCUUCCGACCGUAGCCAGAUCCAUAUUCCGAGCUAGGCUGUUCGCAUUCAGGCUUCCGACCGUACCCGGAUCCGUACUCCGAACUGGGUUCCUCGUAAUCAGGCUUCCGCCCAUGCCCAGAUCCAUACUCACCCUCCCCACCAAAACUCGACGGCGGCUUCGGCUGAUACCCAUACUCACCACCAUCACCACUGCCUCCGAACCCUCCUUGGCCAGGAGGUGGUCCGGCGUAACCAAGGACCGGACGAG